GACCUCGAACGUAUCCUGAGGCAAAGAUGCUUCCGUUCUGUAGUAGUAAACCAGUGGUUUGAAGAGCAGCUGUAGUAGUAAAUUAAACCAGUGGUUUACUUGCUUGCCUUGUAAGAAUGGCGUGCUCUCCUUUCGCUUUUACACUUCCCUCGUGCUCUCUCAUCGCGUGGUGUGUCUGCGGCUGCGACUCUCUUGCACGCCACAUCUCUAGGAGGAUGAGUGAGCACGCGUGCUGGUGACUAGCGAACGUUCCAGGCUGCUUCCCUUUAGUGUAUGAAGAAUUCAGACAACAGACGCCUAUCAAUUCCACUUGCCCGGCUAAAGGGAAGCAGCAGCGCGCUCAAGGAGCAUGUUCAGAUCGGACUGGACCGCGUUAACAACGAGCAAAGUGAGAGUGAGAGCCGGCAGUUCGCAUGCAUUUUGACACCCGGCGCGCCGCCGUAGCACAAGAAACAGUUGACGCGGUACACGCGAUCGACUUUGAAACCCUGGCCUUGUUUAGUUCACCUCAAAAAGCAAAAAGUUUUUAAGAUUCCCCGUCACAUCGAAUCUUGUGGCACAUGUAUGAAGCAUUAAAUAUAGACGAAAGCAAAAACUAAUUAUACAGUUUAGCUGGAAAUCGUGAGACGAAUCUUUUGAUCCUAAUUAGUUCAUAAUUAAAUAAUAUUUGUCACAAACAAACGGAAGUGCUACAGUACCGAAAUUCAAAAUCUUUUCGGAAGUAAACAAGGCCUUAGUUAUCGCGACUGACUGCUAUCUAGUCAAAGUGGUUUUCGUUCCUGCACGACAGUGCGGAUCGUCUAGUCGGUGCCAGCAGACUGUGGUCAGGUCGGGUACGCCAUCGACAACAUUUGUACCCGUCUGCGACGAAGGGCGCGUCCAGGUGCAUGAGAGGGACACGUACGUGGCACUGGCCGCCCGCGCCCACCUCCACAUACAUACAUACUUGGCACUCAUGAUCCGUAUCACCGGAUGAGUGAUGGCUCGCCCUUGUCCGGUCCCCCAGCUGAUCUGACGAAAACGGCGAUCGGAGAGGCAUGCAUGAUAUUGCUAACAUGCUCAUCCGAUCCCCACACGCCACUCCAGGCAAGAGGGAAGCACGGUGAUGGACCGUCUCGUACUUUUGAUCGCUUCCUGGCCACUAGCUGGGGAGGCCCGCCUGAGCGAGAGGGCAAACAACAACUAUUAUGCUUUUGCAGUUGCUCAGUCGUCUUGUUAAUUCAGGCUGAACAAGCAUGCAUACACAAAACGUUAAUCCGGUGUCUUCUCCAGAUAACCCCACCUACAAUCUUCAGCUGCAUCAUUAUUAGUCCACCAUUUACUGCUGCCAAAGUUGUCUGAUUACGUUUACUACGUAUUACGUAGUCGAGACUAAGAACAGCUAUACUCCAUGUAGCGUUGGUAUACCGUGUAUACGUUGGUAUGUAUGUAUGUGACCUAACCAGUGCAGUAGUAUUCAUGAUGACCUCCGAUCCCUUAAAGAAAGGUCAGCCUUUUGGAUGCCAGCUCACAUCUCAUCAAUCCAACACUAGCAGGACAUGGGGUCCGUGUCCGUUCAUGGCGUACGUACGCUCACCUCUGCAAGGCAGCAAGGCAACAUACACAGAGGCAGAGGCCAGAGCGCCCCAACUACCCUCCCCUAGCUACAGCUACAGUCUACAUCACCGCCGAGCAAAAGCCAAGGACGUCAUAUAAAUCACCCCCAAAACCCCCAAGCCGCCACCACCCUCUCACUUUAUCGCCACCGCCCCUGCUUUCCCAAACCUCACACCAAGCAGCGACCAGCAGCAGCAGUGGCAGUAGUAGUGUAGGUGGGCAGAAUGAAGCUUGAGACGGCCGCCACCGUUGCUCUCCUCCUCGUCCUCCUCCUGGCGCCGCCUUCGCUCCGUGUCUCCAUGGCUGGAUCAGGUAACCCGCCAGCAUCUCCAUGAUCUCUCUCACAUGCCGUUUUCUGAUGCUGCGCUUGGCUGGGCAGGCAGGCUAUUCUAUUCGCACGUACGACCGAGCUGACCGAUUGAGCUUCUUCUUCUUCUUCUUCUUCUUCUUCUUCCUUUGGAUUUGUUUGUGCAGCGUUCUGCGACGGCAAGUGCGGGGUGAGGUGCUCCAAGGCGAGCCGGCACGACGACUGCCUCAAGUACUGCGGGAUCUGCUGCGCCAGCUGCAACUGCGUGCCGUCCGGCACCGCGGGCCACAAGGACGAGUGCCCCUGCUACCGCGACAUGACCACCGGCCACGGCAACCGCACCAGGCCCAAGUGCCCUUAGAUGCCUCCCUCCGGAGGCACGGACCCUCUCUGCCUGCCUCUCGCCGUCACCAGCUCCAGCUGGCUGCCAUGCGUAGCAUCCGUCCAUAGACCAUGCAUGCCGCACCGUCCGUGACUCUGGAUCGGAUGGCUGUGCAUGCGUCGAUCAUGUGUACGUCUGGAGAAUGAGACACAUCUGUGUGUCCUAGCUACCGGUACUCUGCAUGCUUUCUCAAGCUUCUGCUUUCACUAGUUACUACUCUUACUACUGUGUUGCGCAUGAGAGAGGACAUGCAUGCAUGGAGAUGAUUUCGUGUUGUGUACACUGGCCGCUUGGCCAGGUGAUAAUAUAAUAAUGGUGUGUAUUAUUUAUUGUGAUAGACCCUUGGCAGCUACUAGAUGAGAUGCUAGAGAUCGUGCUUACUACAGAGUUUUCAGAGUCCAUUGUGCUGAAAUGUGAUUAAAAUUUAAUUUGUGUGCUUUAAUUUGUGUGAGCCUAGCUCAGUGCAUGACUGAAGCAUGAGACGAGCGUCGGUGGUGCAGACGCAUCGGCCCCACCACACUCCUCCAGUCCUUCAGUUACGAGUGCUAACUGACUGCGACGCGUCGGUCUCGCCACCAGCCCCACUGAAACGAAGAAAUUCAAGUCUUUGCCGACCUUGCUUGCUCAUUACUAGCUGCGGUGCAGCUGGACAUGAACACAAAGACCUCAGAACGGCAAGAGUGGGAUCCAUCGUUGAUUGAUCCCACCGUCCUCCCUGCUUGGCUGCUCCUUUGCUAUUACCAGUGAGCAGUAAAAAAAAUCAACUGCCGAGUACAGUUCAUGGAGAUGUUCCUACCAACAAGACUGUUGGUUGGCAACCAUACAUAAGGUUUAAAACUUUUGCCUGAAUAAUCGGCAUGCGGAGCUACAUCAGGCAUACAACAUUGAGCAAUGGUCUAUGCUUUGCAUGGAUGCGAAAACAUAUCCUGCGUUACCGGCCUAUACGGUGACUCUGUACCAAACGAGGUAGCACCUAAAAUAGUUACAUGAAAGUUGCGAAAAAAAAAUACAAAUGGAUAGGCAAUGCAAACAUCUGUAUGUUGAUGCAAAACUUGAGAUGCAAUAAAAACCUGUGUAGAAAGAUAAAAGAAGUAAAAUCAACACAUGAAAAGAUAGGGGCGCAAACAACUUGCUCUUUUGCCAGUUAUCUGCUAUGAAAGCUUCAAUUUUUAGAAUCUGUAUCGAUUUUUUUUUAACUUUGAGUUUAUAAAAAAGAACAUCAAUAUCUAUGACACAAAAAUAAGUAUUUUAUAAAAAUAUAUUCUAUAAUAAAUCUAAUAAUACUAACUUAAUAUUAUAAAUCUGAUAGUGACCUAAAUUUUAGCACAAGAAACCAAACGGGGCCGAAGACAAAAGUUCACUGGCUAACUGGCCCUCUCAACUAUAUGUUCUAAUCGUUGGCUUGCACACCUUUCAGUACAACUGCAACAGAUGCUUCCUGCCCUAGAGAGCUGCCCACAGGGCUUUACUUUCUAAAAUAUUUUGCAAAUUUUUUUACAUUCCCCACAUGCAUAAAACACUAUAUAGAUAAAAAAAAUAACUAAUUAUACAGUUUAUCUGUAAUUUUCGAGAUAAAUCUUUUAAGCCUAGUUAGUCUAUAAUAAUUGGACAAUAUUUGUCAAAUACAAACAAAAGUAAUACUAUUCAUAUUUUACAAAAUCUUUUGGAAGUAAACAAGGCCUGAUCAGGUUACAAAUCAGACCCUAUUCUUGCACACGAAAGUGUAAAUCCCGUAGGACACUUUGGGCCCUGUUGUCCACAGAACCCAACCCGGCACUGGUGGAUGUGUUAGAUGUUUUUUUUUAUAAGCGUGUUAGACGAAUCGGAACAAGAUAUAAACCAGAGUGCUGAAUAAGGAUGGCGCAUUAUUCCCCAAACUUACGAGCCCACUUUUGUGUACAGCAGAUAACUCAAGCCCAUCUCACAAUUAUUGCACUAGCACGGCAGAAUACAGAACACGCGACCAAAAUUGAGCACAAACUAAUCAGAGUACUGUCCAGCAUUGAUCAGAGCAACUAGGGACGGGGAGAGGAAGACAAGAGGAUAAUCACUUCAGGAGCAUUUCAGCAAUCUGAACAGCAUUGAGUGCGGCACCUUUACGUAUCUGAUCACCACAGACAAAUAUGUCCAACCUGCCAUUGUACAGAUGAUUAGUUUUAAUAUAAUUAUCCUUAAAUUGCUUAUCCAUUUUCAUAAAAGUAUUGCGCAACGAGGUAAUGUUUCUGUCAACUGUAACUGUCGAACAGUAUCAUACAUACCCUCGGUUAUCAUCCAGGGACAAGUCCUGACGAAUUCUACCCACUGCUACAUCAUCUUUAUCUGAUACCUGAAAAGCAGAGGGUUACUUUGUCAGUAAAAUCAUUUGAACUUCUCUCACCUGGAAUAGGCGAAUGUGUAGACCAAACGAGUUUGUAUAUUGAGUAUCGUGGUGGUAUUGAUGAGCAUGAAUCAAAAUACCUCCAGAGGCGUAGGGAAGCGAUUGGAAGCACGGUCAUCAAUAAUGGUAACACCAGGAGCUCCCCUCAAAAUUUCUCUUGCAGUAUCCUUCAGAGUAGCACACAAACUCAGAAGUUGCAAUAUUAUACUAUACAAUAUAAAUAUAACCAAUUCGUUUUUCUCCCACAUUCACAAAUAGUUAAAUUCAAAUAAAACACCUAUCCAGAUGACAAAGUGGCAGGUUCCAAGAACCAAUUUACUUAGCACAAAUAGAGACAAAAGAAACAAACAUAUUUUCACGAACAGAGAAGUUUUAAUGCUAGUUAGCACAUAAUAUGCAGAAUACCAACCUCAUCAAGUGGCUUUUCAAACUGUAGAUUGACACUUUCAGCAUGCGCACGCAUCACAGGAACCCGUAUGCAAGUCGCAGUUACUUUCACAUCCUUGUCGUUCUAGCAAUGGACCGUACAGUUAGAAGGCAUAUUUGCUCAAAUUAUCACAAUGAAAGAAAAGUUUGACAGAGUAAUGCAGACUUCAUAGGAAGCUGUUUAGACCAAUGGGACCAUAAAAACUAACCCAAAUUUUUCUUGUCUCCUUCACCAUUUUCAUUUCUUCCUCAUUAUACCCAUUCUCAAGAACCGGUGCAUUGUGUGAAAAUAUAUUAAAAGCAUACUGCACAAGAGACAAAGAUAUUCAGCACGAAGAACCCAUGACUAAAAUAAUUUGAUAUGUGCUCAGGAUACUUCAAUUUGUAAGCCAGAGCAACCUGCUGUUUGAAAAUAUUGCAUGUUGGUGCCUUCCCUUCCAAGACCUAAAAUAAGGAGUAAAGCAUUGAGUGUCUAACCAAACAAACACAUCAACUGGACAGGGCAACUUGGAGAAGAAAAUAUGUACCUCCUGAGUCUGCAGCUUGAGUUCUUCCAUUGCCGCAGCACCAGCACCACUUGCUGCUUGGUAUGUGCUGACAACCAUCCUUACCACCUGCCAAAUCAACAAAUAGCCAUUAGUUCGACCGUGGAGGCAGGGCAUUCAACAAGCAAAUCGGAUACGGUAAAAAAUCAUCUUAGUAGCAAAAAAACAUGUGAUAGGAUCAUAGGAACAUAAUAGCUCACCAUACAAAUGUAUUAGCAAAUCAAGCAGAAUCUGCCACCCAUAUAAAAAAAAAAUAGAAUUGGCAAGACAGAUCCAGAUAAGUACGUCUUAAAUAGCCUAUGGUUAAUCCCUACUGCAGACCUUAAUUUGAAUCAUCAACUCCUAAGGAUUUGUCCAAAAAAAAAUCGACAUGCUGUGAGACCAUCAAUUCAAUAAUGAAGAUUUUUUUUUUCAGACAGACGCAGAACACUGAAUUUCCAAAACAUGGAAGAAUAAAUGAUGUGUUUUUUUGUUGGCUAAAACUACACUGGAAGAUUGAAGAUUCAGAACAGUACUAGAUGGGAAGCGAGUGAUUGCAAUGUUUUGGACUGUUAAUAUGAUAUCUAUUUUCAAGCCUGAUUAAAUUAAAGUAAAAGAACUAAAAUUAGACAGUCCAAUGUUUGAUUACAUGUACGGAUUCAUCUAUACGAUACAUAUAUAUAUAUUUUUGAAAGAUAGUAGUUUACUUAGAAUUAGGAAUCAUAAUUCCAGAGAUUAAUGUUUGGUUUCUGCGGUUAAAUAGCAUGUAGAUUAUACAGUCCCUCAGCAUCAGCCUUCCGUCGCUUCAAAUUAAAGUUAUUGAGAAACGGAUGAUGCUUCCGCCAUCCCAUAAAGUGCACAAAGGUACCUUGGCGUGGCGAUGGAGCGGCGUGGCAGCCAUGAGGCAGAUGAUGGUUGAGCAAUUCGGAUUUGCCACAAUCGCCCCCUGCCCGAGCCGGACGUUCCCCAUGGCCUCAGGGUUGACCUCGGGGAUGACGAGCGGCACCUCGGGAUCCAUCCGGAACGCGGAGCUGUUGUCGACGACGACGGCGCCGCUGGCGACUGCCGCGGGCCCGUACUUCCGGCUGACGCUCCCGCCGGCGCUGAACAGCGCGAUGUCGACGCCGUCGAACGCCCCCGGGGCCGCGAGGUCCUGGACGGUGUACUCGCGGUCCUCAAAGGCGAGGCGCUUCCCCGCGGACCGCUCGCUGGCGAGGAGGCGGAGGCUGCGGUAGGGGAAGUCCCGGUCCGUGAUGACGCGGAGGAACUCCUGGCCCACCGCGCCCGUGGCGCCCACGAUGGCCACCGAGGGCCCGUCCUCGCGCAGCGCCAUGCGCACGGUGCUGGGUGCGCGCCGGUGCAGCGCGGCGCGGCCCGGGGACGGCGAGAAUAGGCGCGGGUGGCGGACGGCGGCGGCGGCCUGCAUUGUGGCGGCGCGCGAGGCUGAGACGGGGAUGGGGUGGGUGGUGGGUUAGGGGGUGGCGCUGACGAGUAACGACGGGAAUUCUUGAUUAGGGUUUUAGGGCGUAGAAUGCCGGAUGAAGUGGGGUUUUGUGGGCGCGCACUAAUCGGUUAUCGGUGUGCUGGCGGCGUGGCGCGUCCCGUUUUGGUUGCAAACUUGCGAAUCUUGCGGCCCACGGAGACUAGGGAUCUCGAACAAGAGUCCAGCAUCAAUUUGGUCUUUCAUUGAUGCAAGUUGGAUUAUGCGUUGCCAACUUGCCAAGCUCCUCUUGAUAGAGUCCCCCAUUCCAAGCGCCUGUUUUGUUGAGAAAGGGCGAAAAGAAGGCCCACGCUCCUUUUGACAGAGUCCCUCCAUUCCAAGCUAGGGUUUUGCUGAGAAAGGGUGAAAAGAAGGUGAGUUGUUUUCGGCAUUGUUACCCUCAGGCCUUGGUUAGUUCCAAAAAAUUUUGCAAAAUAGGAAUAGUAUCACUUUCGUUUGUAUUUGAUAAAUAUUAUCCAACUAUGUACUAAUUAGACUCAAAAGAUUCGUCCCAUCCAUUCCGACCAAACUGUGCAAUUAGUUUUUAUUUUCGUCUAUAUUUAAUAUUUCAUGCAUGCGUAUAAAGAUUUGAUGUGACAGGAAAUCUGAAAAAAUUUAUAAAAUUUUUUGGGAACUAAACAAGGCCUCAGUCCCCCCCCCCUUCUCUCCAGUGACCAUUUUGGCAUAAGAGAGGAUGGGGAGUGGGGUUCAGACGGCCGAUGUACAUAGCUUUUGUUUGUCCACCGGUGGAGUCGGCGGCAACAGUGGCUGUGGUGUUGCUUGGCUUCUUCAUCGUGGAGGAGAUGAGGUGUGGAUGCUUUGUCUGUGUAAGCGUCUACUAUGUGGAGGGGCUAAGGUAUAUCUUUCCUGCAACAUUUGCUUGGUGGAGGUGUCGUUGAUGUUGGGAAUAAUACCCUUCGGCUUAGGUUCCACUUCACCGGUGAGCACUUCAUUGCUGGCGACAAGUGUGUGAGGGUGGAAUCUUAUGAAUCUAGAAGAUUAGCCAGUGUUUUGCUUUCUCUAGAUCUCGUGGAUUCUGAUGUAGGAGUCCGCUGCUUAGUGCCUCUGUCAGGAAUGAUGGAGGUGCUGGCAACUCGAUAUAGAGAGAUGGCUAGUGGGUUUAUGGUCUUCUUGGUGGAUGGAUCUGUGCUUUGUUGUCAUUGAUUGCCAGCGAUGUGUGUUGGUCCUGGGUCAGGGGAUCAUGGGGUGCGUCACUGACCGAUUUUCCUUCAUGGAUGUGUUUUAUUGCAGCUCGAAUCAAAGCCUUGGUGCGAUGGUGUUUCCUCUGACCUUGGUGUUGCCAUUCUCUCCGAACUUCGGUGGUGGCUUCGGCGACGAUGGAGGUGGACAACGAACGGUGUUGACGGCAAGCACAAAAGAUCCCAAGGGUUUUGAUGUAUUUUUUUCUGUUGCUAGGGUCUUUUUGUGUAAGUUUGGAUGGACGACUGUCCUCUUUUGCACCUAUCUAGAAGGUGCAUGUAUAUUUCCUUGUAUUUGUACACUUUGCUAUCAUAUUAAUACAUGUAUGUUUCAAAAAAAAACUUGCCUUUGAUAUGCGGUUAAGAAAGAAGUUCACGACUUUGGAGUUUGGACACACCUAUCUCUUAUGGCAUUGGAUGAGAUUGAAAAGAAAAGGAACUAAUUUUCUCCUUAUUAAUCUCCUCUAAUACCCAUAAGGAACAAUUGAUCCAAAGAAACCAUCAGGAUUUGAACUAGAGCAAAUUAAAAAAUGGUAUUAUAGAAACCAUUAGGAAUGAUUGAUCAAAAGAAUCUCCUCAACUCAUUCCUCAUGCUAAUGGAGACGGCAUGCAUCAAUCAAAACCUUUGUCCUUUUAUGUUACAAAAAAACUUUGUCCUUCUCACUGUGCUGGAAAAACAGAAAAAACAAAGAUGACAGUGGGCCAUUUUCCAUUGGACCUUAGACUAAGGCCCCGUUUGGUUCCACAAACUAAUUUUUAGCUAAAGUUCCAAACACAUCGACUAAAAGAGACUAAAAUAGUUUAGUUCCAUUAGUCACUCAAGAGUAGCUAAAAUAAUUUUAGCUAGCUAAAAUUUAGUUGGUGGAACCAAACAGGGCCUAACACUACGUUUUACCGGGCUUCAAGUCUCAGGGCGGAUAUGGGCCUAGAGCCACUAGGGCCACGGCCCUAGGCGUGGCCCAAAACACCUUCAUUCGAAGUGUGGGCCAAAUUCUUUCUACUCCCUGCCGGCCCAAGCACAGAGAGGACGUCCGUCCGCCUGGCCGGAGUGGGCGGCUGGGCUUCAGGUCCAUGUAGCAAACCUUGUCCUUCUCAGUUCUCUGUCCCAGCCCAGCCCAAAACAAAAAUCUGCUUCUAGAGCAUCCUAGGUCACUCGCUCCUGUUCUCGGUUCUCCCCGUUCGCUUCUCCCUUCCCCUCCCGCCGCGACGCAUAGCCGCCAAACAAACUCCCGCAAAGCUGACGAGCACCAUAGCCAAAUCAACGCAUAGCGAUAUCCAGGAGCUUUCACAAAGCUGUCUCCGUCCACGAGUGCUCUAGCUGACACCUAUCGCCGGCGUCAAUGGCGAGCUCCGGCGAUGAAGGGCGCGUGGUGGUGGACCUCCGCUCCGCGGCGGAGUCGGCGGCUGCCGACGAGGAGGCGCACGCCACGCCUCUCCACGAGAUCGAGUCCCUAUGCAUGCGCUGCGGCGAGAACGUGAGUGCCCAACUAACUUACCUCUCGAUUUUUCAUGAUUCCGUCCUCUUCUGUUCGGGGCGCUUGUCGAAGGAUUCUGAGGCCUGUUGCUUCGUUUUCAUGUGGUUUAGGGCAUCACGAGGCUUCUGCUGACGCUGAUCCCGCACUUCCGAGAGGUACUUUCUGUGCUCAUGCCGUCAGCUGCUUGUUCUGAUUAGUACCGCUGAUUAGACAGGAGUUGUGAAGCUUGCUUUUGUGAAUCUGCAGGUGGUUCUGAUGGCCUUCGAAUGCCCACAUUGUGGUGAGAGGUAAUGAUAUGCCCAAUUUCUUGUUUAUUGGAAUUUGUCCAGGUCUAUGAUCGGUAGAGCUAUUACUUGCCAAUUGAUGGUAAUAAUUUGAGUUUGCAUCCUUGUGUUGUAGGAACAAUGAGAUUCAGUUUGCUGGACAGCUCCAACCUAAGGGAUGUUGCUAUAGCUUGAAGGUUCCGUUGGGGCAGAGUGACGUAUGUUUUCUGCAUGACGAUUAUGUUUUAAUUGUUGAUUUUGGUAAAAUUAGGCGCUCUUAAUGUUUAUACUACAAAUCUAUUUUAACAUUUGUUAUAAUAAAGCAUUAUUAUGAUUGCCGAAAUAUAUUUACUAUAAUACCUAACUAGUGGAGCUGGUCCAGAUACUGAAUCGUCAGGUUGUGAAGUCUGAUUCAGCGACUAUCAAGGUAUGCUGAUAUUUGAUCCUCUUGAUACAUUACAGUAAAUACAUAUAGAAUGCAUUGAUUUUCUAAUUAUUCAUUGUACCCAUCUGCAGAUUCCAGAGCUGGACUUUGAGAUUCCUCCCGAAGCUCAACGUGGAACACUUUCUACUGUAUGCUUCAUUGCUUUCUGUAUUUGUUUUGUUGGGAAACAGUCCCUUUCAAAAUGUUUUCUUUUCCUGCUAGUUUGCUUAUUCUUUAUCUUGUAAAUCAGGUGGAAGGGAUUAUUAUGCGGGCUGUGGAUGAGCUGCAGGCACUUCAAGAUGAACGAAAGGUGAAUCUUGGCCAUUUGUAUGCUUGGCUUUUGGAAUUCGAAUGACUCCACAUGAUGACACGCAUCUUCUGCAGAAAGUGGAUCCUCAGAAGGCUGAAGCUAUCGAUCAAUUUUUACUGAAGUUGAGAUCUCUUGGGUCAGGAGAGGCUGCAUUCACCUUUAUUCUUGAUGACCCUGCAGGAAAUAGCUUUAUCGAGAACCCGUAAGUAUUUUUUGUGGGUAUACCUCAUAAUUUAUAUUGUUUGGGAUUUAGAAUUGUUUUGACCUAUAUACGUGUUCUAAUAUGGAAGACACUGUUCUAUGCAUCAUAAUUUAAUGUUUGAACUACUUGGAUGAUAUUCUUUUACAUUGUUUUCCUUUGCGGUAAUAUAGUUUGAUUUAUCUUGUCAAUAACCUUUAGCAACUCUAAAAAAACCUAUAGUGAUUUGAAUUGACUAGAUUGUGCUAUUAUGUAAUGGCUACAGCUGGAUUGUACAUAGGAAGAUAAUAAUACAUGGUAUGUUUUAUUAAUCCCCCCACGCAUGUGCCUGAUCUGGGUUUGCCACACUGAUUAAUCUUCAUAAACCCACAGGCAUGCUCCAUCAUCAGAUCCUUUACUAUCUGUGAGAUUCUACGAAAGGACUCGUGAACAACAAGCAGCACUUGGUUUUCUGGCUGAACCACCAACAGAACAACCUGGAGAGGCUGUUUUGCCUGCUUCAGCUGUGGAAUCCAAUUCUGAUGGGUUGCAAAGCGUGCCCCAUGGCUCAGUUGGAGCUGUUGCAGGUCGUCGCGCUAUAGCUCAGGGAAACCCUGACGAAGUUGCUGCAGCAUUGUGUAGAUACUCAGCACCAGAAGAGGUAUACUCGUAUCUAUUAUCUACCAAGUUGCUGGCAACAAUCUCCUCACGAUUUUUGUUUAUCUAUAUCUUAUAAAUUUCAUGUGGACAGGUUGAUACUUUACCAUCAACAUGUGGGGCCUGUGGAACAGAAUGUGUCACGCGAUUCUUUGCUACAAGUAUCCUUUUUCCUGAUUAAAAAUAGAGUGCACAUAAUGCCUGUGUAGCCAUUAGUUAUUUUCAUGAUCAAGCUCAGUAAUGGAGUGUGAAUAGUAUCUUGGCUAUGCUUAUUUGGUUUUGUGAUGACAUUUGUUCUCUUAGAAUAAGGACUAGAAAAAGGAUCUUGUUAUUUGUGUCAGAACACCUCUGCUGCCUUCGCUCCUGUACCAUGGGUUUUGCAUGCAAUUUUUUCAUGGUUGAAACUUGAAACUUCCACUGGAAAAUUUCUUCUUUGGUGUUAAGGUAGUUACUGUGAAUAGCUAUCAACCACCUGGAGAGGGUGCAAUGGUUGGAUAUCUUGGUGGUAUGCAAUAAUUUAGCUAUAAGAUAUUUUGUUGGAAAUACAGGUGUCUGUGAUUCUGUCUUUCAAUCUUACAUUUAUGCCAGAGGUAUAAUAUUCCUGAUAUGUGGCCUGCCCAGGCUGUUUAUUAAAAUUUUACCAUUGUUGGUUGAUCCAGAUAUGGUAUUUCACUUUUGAACCGGUGAAUAUUAUUAUUUGGGAUGGGGUUACAUUGGGUAUUGAACAAGACAAGUCUUAUUUUUUCUGGGUUUCUAGCUGGAGCUAUGGUUUAUGAUGGUUUCACACCAGUUAAACAGGCAUCGUUUGGUUGGAUUUACCAAACAUGCUUGCAGGGACAUCAGGUUUCCAGGACCUGAAACAUAGCUGCAACCCUUUGAUUAGGUUCCUGAAUAUAGGAACAUAACAUUUUGGGAUACAUUUCUGCUGCCUAGCACUGGAAUUAAAAAGUAUGUGGACCUUGACCUUUGCUAGAAAUCCCAUAUUUCCGGGAGGUUAUUGUUAUGGCAACAACAUGUGACAUGUGUGGUUAUCGCAAUUCAGAGGUCAGUUUGAUUGUCCUACCACUAUUUUGUAAAUAAGAUUUUGUUACCUGAAUGGCGCCUUUUGACACUUAUAUGAUUUCGAAACUCUCUUUCUCUUUAUUCAAUCAGCUGAAGCCUGGGGGUGAAAUUCCAGCUAAGGGAAAGAAAAUUACACUGCGUGUUCAAAACGCACGAGACCUUACUCGCGAUGUCAUAAAGGUUUGGAUGUUUCCUGUUUACAGCAACUUGCAUGCCUGUGCAUGGGAAUGAUGAUCAUAUGAUUAUGCAAGGACAAAUCUAGAGUAAAAUCCAAGGAGGGGUGCGCCAUAAUAAUACAACUUCUGUUUUUAAUGAGUUGUUCAAUACAAGUGCCCCGUACAAAAAAAAACCAAAAAAUGAGAAAAUAGUGUAGUUAGUGAAGCUGUGAUGGCUAUAUAAAAAAAUACGGCAUCUGAUUUCGAGGUUCUCAAAAGCUUAAAUUUGAAAGUACUGUAGGUUUCAAUUCUCUAUAAAGAACUAGUAGUAAUGUGUCAGCGAACUAUACACAGCUCCUGGGUAACAUUGUGCUUAAUAUUAAUGUUUCAGUCAAAAUUCGCACCAUCAAUAUAACAUGCGAUUUACGGUGGUCAAUUGGAACAUGUAUAAUGCUUCCAGAAGUUCAUUUGAGUUGACACUAUAAUGAAGUUUAUUUUACACUAAGAGUCCCCUGCAGACUGCAAUUUUUUCACACAAAUUCUAGAAUGCCACAAUUUCAAGCUAAACCCUACAGUUUCAUCAAAAUUUAACCAAGGAGCAUGUAAAUUAAAUUGCAGAAAAUCAAAAUAGGGAAUUAGCUAGAACGAUCCACUUCCGGAAAAAUUUGGAAUGAUAAAAAAGGCAUUGCCAGUGGAAAAGUUCAAAAUGGAUACUGGAUGUCCUGCGUUGGCUGAAGCAGAGAGAGUGAAGGCAUAGGGGAGAAUAGAUUGACCGGGAGCACAGCAUACACAAUGGAUGACCCCAUGGUGUUGCUGGGUUGAGCUUGCAGCCCAACCAAGUGAUUUGCUUCUGGAUUGGUGGGUCCAUAGCUUGGUGCCAUGAGGGUGCCUAAAUGGUACUCCCUCCAUCUCAAAUUGUAAGUCGUUUGACUUUUUUUACCCCAAGUUUGACCACUCGUCUUAUUCAAAAAAUUUGUGCAAAUAUAGUCAAAUUUUAAGUCAUUCUUGAAGAACUUUUAUGAAUAAACCAAUACACAACAAAAAAAAGUAAUAUUUUGUACAAAACUUUGAAUAAGACGAGUGGUCAAACUUGAUAUUAAAAAAGUCAAACGACUUACAAUUUGGGAUGGAUUGAGUAGAAAAUAGAUAGCAACAACUCGGAAUUGUUCAAUCUGCCCUGGGAAUAGCUUAAUGUAGCUUCCCCCUUGGAUUAGGUAAGGGAAAAGGUUAUUUGACAUUAAUGACUUGAUGUCAUGUCAAGUGAAAUCUAUUUUUCAACUUGCGAGUCAGAAUCUAACUCUGAGCUGUGCAUGUUGUUUUUUCUUUCCUUUUUGGCUUCUCUCAGUCUAGUGUGCAAUGUGAACUCCACUGAACACACUCUAAUAUGUUGGCAUUUCUCUACCUUGAUCAUUACACAGAUUGAUAAUUUGUGAUUCUACUGGAGCCACAUACUUAUAUAGACUAAAGAACUUGUUAGACAGGAUCCAUCUUCCAAUAUAUGACUUUGUUCAUUUGGGUUUGUUUUUCAGUCAGAUUCAGCUAGCGUGAAAGUACCUGAACUUGAGUUGGAGCUUUCAAGUGGAACGUUGGGUGGUAUGGUCACAACUGUUGAAGGUUUAAUUGUGAAAAUAUGUGAGGGUAGGUCUGCUUCACUUUAGUCACCUCUCUGUUUAUGAUUCCAAAAUAGUAUGUACACACUUUUUGAAGCUCAGAAGAGGAUUUGAGUGUGACAUGUGUCUUCGCUUUCCCCCUUUUUUUUCCGCUUACAGCUCUGGAGAGAAUACAUGGAUUCCAAUUGGGCGAUAGCACACUGGAAUGGAAAAAGAAGAAAUGGGAGGAUUUUAAGGAGAGAUUAUCCAAGGUAAUUUCUUUGCUCUCUCUCUAUUACUCUAUAAAAAAACUCGACCAAGGCGGUUAAAAGUUAAAACUGCCGCCACAGCUUUCAAAUUAAGAAGAAAGUGCCUUCUCACAAGGCGAGAAAACCCCCGAACCCCCACCCCCAUCCAUACAUGGUGGCCUUUCGGUCGCCCAAGUGAGAAUUAGGCCGGGGCCUUCCAGUGCUUUGGUAUGAGGAUGAGCGAGGGGAUUUUUUUUUAACCUAGCCUAAAAUUCGCUCCUAGUAGGAUUCGAACUCAGGACGUGAAAGGUGCCGCCGGAGUGCCUAGAUCAACUGAACUAGCAUCCUUUGGCUCUCUAUUUCUCUAUAUAGUUUAAUGGAGGAAGUUUAUCCUAAUCAAUACUAUUUGUCAAUGUAUUUUACCAGCUUCUGAGUUUACAAGAGCCCUGGACUCUAAUAAUUGAUGAUGGAUUGGCGGCUUCGUUUGUAGCCCCGGCUACUGAUUCUUUAGAAGAUGACAGCCAGCUAACCAGUAAGUUAACCUUACCAACAAUUCAGAUACACGAUGGUGCUCUCCUGAUACCCAAUACCGCAAGUUAGGAUGUGCGUAUAUGUACUCAUACUGAACGUGUUCUUUGUGGAUUACAGUGGAGGAGUAUCAGAGGAGUUGGGAGCAGAAUGAGGAACUUGGCCUGAAUGACAUGGAUACGUCCUCUGCAGACGCGGCUUACAACACGACCAGCACAUGAUUUUUUUUUUAAGUUUUGUUGUGCUGAAUGUAUUUGUUAUGCUAGCUUGUAUCAUUAUCUAUUUACUUUGGUAAACUCCCAGUGUGUAUACUAAUAUCAACCACUUAUAUUUCUUCUGACGAUAAACAUCGAGCGGCAAUGCGUUGAACGAUGUUUAGAACAUUUUAUAAGUUCUGCGGAGCACCAGCUUUGACGAAAUUUGAGUGAUGGUCACCCACUAUACCCCGUCACCCCGGGAACCAGUUGCAGUACAUACUGCCAGUCUGGACCCGAGAUGGUUACGCUUUAUAUACUGAGAUGGAGGAAGUAUUAUACGUGUAAAUCUAUUUACCCCUCUAUUUUAAAUUAUAAGUUAUUUUAAAAAUCUAGCAUUCUAACAUCAUACAUUAAUACAUGUAAAUCAAUGUACUCCGUUCAUUUUAAAUUAUAAGUUAUUUUAAAAAUCUUAGAAAAUCAAUCUUAUGUUUGUGUGGUGACUCCGAGAAUCUUGUGAUAUAUCGACUCAGUUCUUUGAGGUGCUUAUAGGAGUAGGGUUUGUGUAAGUGUGUUCAUAGGGGAGUGUGUUGUGCAUUGUGUGAGUGUGUACUCCCUUCAUUCUAAAUUAUUAGUCAUUUUAAGAAUCUUAUAAUAUCAAAACAUCGCAUGUUUAUGCGGUGACUUCGUGAAUCUUGUGAUUUAGCGACUUAGUCCUUUGCAAAUGUUUAUAGGCAUAUAGUUUACGUAAGAGUGUGCGUGCAUUGUGAGUGCGUAUAUUUUACUGUGUAAUUCUCAAGAGAGAGAAAAUAAAAAAUAUUUAUGCCAUCAAAUAGGUAUACUAUGAAAAUAUAUUAAUAAAGAAUCUAAUAAUAUUUAUUUGAUAUCAUAAAUGUUAUUAUUAUAUCACAUAUAUUUGUUCAAACUUGAGAUGGUUUAUGGUGUGUUUAGAUCCAAAAUCUUUUUAGAUUUUCACAAUGUAGCACUUUUGUUUGUAUUUGACAAAUAUUGUCCAAUUAUGGACUAACUAGACUUAAAAUAUUCGUCUCGCGAUUUACAGGCAAUAGUCAGAGCUUCACAUUCGAUGUAACAGAUAAUCUUAUAAACUUUUGGGUUUUUGAGUGCAUCUAAAUAUGCCUUUAGUUGACUCUUCAAAAUUAUUGAAAUGACAAUAAUUUAAGAUGGAAGGAGUACUUUACAAUGUUUAAUCAUGCAACUAUAGGAUAUGCGACCGUGCCUUUAGGAUCGCGAACUUUGAUCCAAGAACCACAUUGGUCAUUUCCCGAACGUUUAGGUAUCAAAUCAUCCACAUAAAUUCUAAAACACAUGGCUGUUUCCGUUUGAAUUCGUGCCGAAUUCUCACCUCACGUCUGCACCUGCUCGGCUGUUCCAGGCUUCGAGCGCUGCAGUGGACGGGUAACAGUGAAUCAUAGCCAUCGGAUUAUUAUCAAACGGUCGACAAAUAACUGCCAGGUGCAGCAGUACAAAGGGGCAGCACUGCUACUGCGAAUUCCCCAGCUUGAAGCAAACUACGCAGAUGGCUUCGGCGGCGGCGUGGGAGGGCCCGACGGCCGGGGAGCUCAUGUCAGCGGGGGCGGCGGCGAUUCCCGGCGGCGUGCGAGUGAAGGGGUGGGUCAUCCAGUCCCAGAAAGGCUCCAUCCUCAACGCCGCCUCCCUCCAACGGUACGAGCCGCCCCCACCAUAAACCCUAGCCCUUCCCUCCCCGUCCUUUCGAUUCGUCUAUGUACAAGACUGGAAACUUGGACUCAGACUCGCAAUAGGCAGAGCUUCACAUUCGCAGUAGUACCGCUGCAGCGUAUUUGAUCAAUUUGUGUACUUUUCCUAUCUGUUUGUCCAUCCCUUUGAUCUGAUUAUUCAUGUCACAUGCCUUACUUCUUUGUUCAUCACUCAUGGAAUUCAUAUGUAUUCCAAUUUUAUUGCAAUAUUCGUAGUAGUAGCACUGCAGCGUGUUUGAUCAAUUUGUGUGUACUUCUCCUAUCUGUUUGUCCAUCCCUUUGAUCUGAUUAAACAUGUCACAUGGCUUAGUUUUGUGUUCAUCACUUAUGGAAUUCAUAUAUGUUCCAAUUUUGUUACACUAUGCUUGUCUUGGCAUUUCAACUUCCACAUGGUAGGGAUCGGAGGUGAUGCUUGAACUGCGAAUCACCCCCCUGUCACAUCAAUGAUAAUUGAUCAUUAACCAACUUUCGUAUUGUUACAUCCAAUCAGGAAAAAUGUGCACAGUAACUUUAGAGUUGAUUUAUUAAAUCAUUGCUACUUUAAAGCAAGUGCACUAUGCCUACUAGUAGUGUUGGAUCUAUCCAGUGUCUACUGGUGUUACAUCUGUGGAGUCUUCAGUGUUAAAUAAAUAGAUGAAUAUUGCUGUUACAGAGAGCUAAUGCUAAAUUCUGUAAUGCCAACUCUGUUCUUCAGUUUUGAAGAUGAACUUCAAACAACACAUUUACCUGAAAUGGUUUUUGGAGAGAGUUUCUUGUCCCUUCAACAUACUCAAACUGGCAUCAAUUUGCAUUUUAAUGCGCUUGAUGCACUCAAGGCAUGGAAGAAAGAGGCACUGCCACCUGUUGAGGUUCCUGCUGCAGCAAAAUGGAAGUUCAGAAGGUCAUCUAUAACUGUACUUCCAUUUUUUACUCAAUUCAUACUACUGAGCAUUUGUAGUGAAAGAUGUUGGUUGAUCUUGGCAUCACCCACCCUGUUUCAAAGCAGCCCACUUUGUCUUAAAAUUUUUGAAGCUUUGAUCAGAAAUACAGAUUUGUGGAUGGAUAUUGAUUUUAUUUUGUUCGUGUCAUUCAUUGUUUCGAGAGAAGUACAAUAGUACACACUUUGAUGUGUUUAUAUUGGUCUUAGCUGAAAACACAAUCAGAUAAUGGAAAUAUCAUGUGUUACCUUGUGAGUUUGUUAAAAAAGCCUAAUCACAGGUUCUUUUAACUUGUUUUCUUGCAGUAAGCCUUCUGACCAGGUUAUACUUGAUUACGACUAUACAUUUACAACACCAUACUGUGGGAGUGAUGUUGUGAUUGUGAACUCAGGCACUGUAUGGACCUGAUCUCAGCUGAAUUAAUUUAAUCCGAUUUCAAAGUUUCUUUGUUCCUCUGCUCUUUCACUUUUUUACUGGUGUAGUCCACUGACAAAUAGUUCCUGUUCAUACAAUUUCCUUUUCCAGACACAAACAAGUUUAGAUGGAUGUAGCGCUUUGUGUUGGGAGGAUACUAAUGAUCGGAUUGACCUAGUUGCCCUUUCAGCUAAAGAGCCAAUUCUUUUCUACGACGAGGUAUGGAAAUGGAACAAAUGAUUCGUAAUUUAUCUGGAUACUGGUCUUCCCCUAACAGGAUGUAUGUAGGUUAUCUUGUAUGAAGAUGAGUUGGCUGACAAUGGUAUCUCAUUUCUUACAGUGCGAGUGGUAUGCAAUCCCAAAUGAUGCUUAUCUGUUCCUUUUUCCUCGACUGUAAUGUCUCUGACAGUCUUUUGGUUCAACUCAUUAAUAGGAUUCUUGGUUGUGUAUGUGCAGAGGGUAAUGCCAACCGGUUGGUUUCUGCUUUUGCGUUUCUGGGUAUGUUCUACUACCUUGCAUUUUAAUUUUUUACUUGAUGCCUCAUUAGUAUGAAAGCAAUUUCUGAGUGUGAUAUAUAUAUUGUCGGCUUGUCACAUAUAGGAUGGAACCUGUUACAAUUAUAGUGAUAAUACUGAUUCAGAUUGUUGCCCUCAGUGUUCCUAUUAAUCCAAGAUUUUUCAGGGAAACUUGUGAAGAGCUGGUCUAUAAGUAAAUAACUUCACUCCUCUUGUAAUUGAUUUUAUGCUUAUCCCUUUGAAAUAAAACAACUAAGCCUUUAAGUUCCAAACAAGUCGGGGUAGGCUAAACUGAUCCUAUGGAAUAAGAAAUGAUAAAACUUUUGAAAGGGUGUAUAUUAAUUAUUGAGGCCUAAGCUUGAACUGAAGAUCCUCCAAACAUAGUCAUAUGUUUGAGUAAUAUAAGCAGGUAACAGUGUUCCCCACAUAUAAGUUGCAAGUUUUUGACAUAUGUAGGAUUUUCAAGAUUCUUUUCUUCAUAUAUGACCAGCUUGUCCUUACUUAUGAUUGCCUGUUGACCUAACAGCUUAGAGUUGAUGGUGUACUGAUGAGAUUGAGAGAGACUCGUUUACAUUGUUCAUUUGGAAAUGGCGAUGGAGCCAAACCAGUGGUACUCCGUGAAUGUUGCUGGAGGGAAGCAACAUUUGCUAGUUUGUCUGCGGUAUGCUAGCACUCAACCAAGCACCUUCUUUGAAUGAGGUUAAGUCCACAGUGUUAAAACGUAUUCAUCGUUUAUCUAUUUUCUAUAAUGCAGAAAGGAUAUCCUUCAGACUCUGCAGCUUACGCGGACCCAAAUCGUAUUGCCAAUAAACUUCCUAUUGUGACGCAGAAGACCCAGAAGUUGAAAAUACCUGACUGACACAAAGGCGCCUUACCCUGUGUACAUCAUCAUGGCUGUUCCAUCGUGGCCUCUUUUGUUUGCCACAUGUUGUAGAUGUACGUUUCGAUGAACCACCGGUUCAUUUCGCCUGGGCCAAACAGAGAUAGCUGUUUUUUUUUUUUGAACUGAGAGAUACCUGCUUGUCUUGUCAUGCUUGAAUUAGACGCUUCUUUAGUGUUUUUUAUUCUUAUUAAUAAUUCUCUCCGUCAGCCACUCUAAAACAUGUCUUAAAUUUGAUGACCUAAAACAUGUUCAGUGCAGUGUGCACAGCGUGAAUGACCGAGGUGUGCGUCCUAUCCGAGCUUCUGAAGAACAUUAUACAUAGCCCCGCGAGUUGUACACAAAGGGCGAGUUUGCUAAAGGCUCUAGGGGGUGGCCUGAGCUCCUUAGCUGCAGCAGCCCAUGUUUGGUUACGCUAGUCUAUCUUUGGAGUUCACCUCACACUAACUUUAAAGCACCAGGCUAAAUGAUGAGGGGAUUGUUUUUUCAGAGUCGGGCUGAAUUGAGUAGAGGGAGCAGGCUCUACGCUGCCCACCUCCCCUUCCUAUCCUCUAUUUGGCUGGCAAACAAAUAAUCUCUACUUGGCUUGGCUCUACGCGGUCCGUAACCAAAUAUGGUCACAUGCACCGUUUGCAUCAGGCCGUGGCUGGCCAUAGCCAGGCCCUGCUAGCUAGGCCGGCCUGAGCACUGGCAUCAAACAAGCCCUAAGCCUCCAGUGGAACAGCCUUGGGCAUGGUGAGUCCGCUGCCUUCGCUCAUGUCAACCUCCACGCCGUCGACUCUGCUCCAGUGGAAGCACUGGAUCAGGGACCCCCAGCGCCACCCCAACCGUCUGCAGCGCGAGCGCCUCUCCGGACACUUGCGCCGCCCCAUCCCCAACGGCGCCAUGAACAGCCCCUCGGCUUUCCCGCCCUCGAAUCGCUCCGGCACGAGCCUGCCGGCUCCUCCCACACAGCCGGGUCCCUGUGGAUCGCGUACACGUUCACCAGCAGCGCCGUGCCGCGCGGGACGUCGUAGCCGCCGACCUUGCAGUCCGCGGACGACUCGUGCUGGAAUAAAGAUGGGGACGGUUCUUCAAAUGGACACCCACGAUUUUUCUCUAUUCAUUUGGAGGAGCAUCCCAUCUUUAUGCGGGAGUAGCAGCGGCGCGGCAGGGUGCGGCGCGUCUUGGCGAUGUCGUUGCGCUACAUCGGUGAGUAAGGGCGCGGCAGGGUACAGGCGGAGCGUCUCGGCGAUGUUGCGCUACAUCGGUGAGUAAAAUCUCUUUUGAAAACGUUUCAGGAAAGCAAGAUCGAUACGAUCAGCCGAACAGGACCGCCUCAGAUUUUUUUUCUGAGAGAAGAUACUGUUCAAUAACUGAAAAGUAAUGGCUAAUAAACUCAGACAUAAUGGCUAAUAAACUCAGACAUGCAAUGCAAAAGGCUCGAGAGAGAAUGAAUGCCAAUUUUCUGAUUAGAGGAGGCGAAUCGGACUUUGGUGAAAAUCGGUGAAUUCAAAUAUACCCUUGGUGAGGUGCCAGGCCCACCUAGCUACUCUGGGCUGGGUGUUGCGAGUACAUGCAGUUGGGCUCGUUGCCGACUUCUAGCUGCAAUUGGGCUGACCCCUGGCAAAAAAAGUUGGGUGCAUAGUGUCUAAUCUCAAUAAACAAAUAAAUAAAACAUUUUCUGUGGAGAUUGAGCCAUAAUACCUUAGCCAUGAAAAGGGUCCUGCAAAGAAGAGGAAUGAAACGUGAUACUAAAUGUUGCAUUUGCGGGAGACUAGAUGAGGAUGGUGGCCACGCUGAAUUGUAAAGGGGUGAAGAAGGUUUGGCGUGAGCUGAGGCCUUGUUUAGUUGCCAAUUUUUUUUUUGUCUUCGGGUACUGUAAUAUUUUCGUUUUUAUUUGACAAACAUUAUCCGACUAACUAGGCUCUAAACAUUCAUCUUGUGAUUUACAAGCAAACUGUGCAAUUAGUUUUUGUUUUCAUCUAUAUUUAAUAUUUAAUGCAUGUGCCGUAAGUUUCGAUGUGACAGAGAAUCUUAAAAAUUCUUAGGUAGAUUUUGGGAACUAAACAAGGCCUGAAUCUAAAAGCAGCAAGGUGCAAAUUGGCUGAAGCCCGAUCAGCCAGAGAGAUGGUUGAAACUGUUCUGAAAUUGAAGGAGAAAGAGCGGCUAACUGUGAUCAGGAGGAAGGAAGGCGAAGGACUGUAGCGGAGCUGGCAUACAUGUGCUGCGUUUCAGGAGGAAGGAAGGCGAAGGACUGUAGCGGAGCUGGCAUACAUGUACUGCGUUUCAGACAGAAGCCUUUCGUUUAGUUGGCAAAAAUUUUGGAUUUCGGGUACUGUAGCACUUUCGUUUGUUUGUGGCAAAUAUUGUCCAAUCAUAGACUAAUUAGGGUCAAAAGAUUCAUCUCGUGAUUUACAGGUAAACUGUGUAAUUAUUUUGUUUUCGCCUAAUUAGUCUAUGAUUGGACAAUAUGUUGUCAGAGACUGCGAUGGCACAAACCGAUGGAAGGUGGGCUGAAACUGAACACGGAGGGGCGUUUGAUUACCGGGCCUUGUUUAGGCCUUGUUUAGUUGGAAAAAAAUUUCAAGAUUCCCUGUUACAUCGAAUCUUACGACGUAUGCAUGUGCAUUCAAUAUAUAUGAAAACAAAAACUAACUGCACAUUUUAUCUAUAAAUCGUGAGAUGAAUCUUUUAAGCAUAGUUACUUUAUGGUUGGACAAUGUUUAUCAAAUAAAAACGAAAGGGCUACAGUGUUGAAAUUCAAAAAAAUUUGCGAACUGAACAAGGCCUUAGGCUGUCUCCAAUAGGAGACCCAUUUGGGAACCCAAACCCAAAAUGGAUCUCCAACACAAUACCUAUAGCCUCCAACAGAGUACCCAUACAGAAAACUCAUUUUAGGUAUCAGGAGAGGCAUAACCCAAAUUUGGAUAUUCUCUCUCCUCGAGACCUAUUUGCAGAGAGUGUUUUCUUUUAGGUCUCGUUGCUGGAGAAGACUAAAAAUAGGUAUAGAACCUUUUUACCUGUAGCGCUACCCAAAGGAUAAAUGUGUCUUGUAUUUUGGGUGAUGAUUGUUGGAGAUAGUCUUAGUCACUGUUCGCCUAAACGGCCGUUUAGACCGUUUAAACGCCGUGUAAACGCUACACAAUGGUACACCGUUUCCGUUUAAUCAUCUGUUUAGUCCGUUUAAUUGACCGUUUAGCCCGUUUAAUGGACUGUUUAGCCCGAAUAAUGGCUAAACGGCAGGUGACCGACUGUUUACCGUUUAGCGUUUAGGAAAACAUUGGUCUUAGUUGUGAAAACUUUUUGGAUUUCAUUAUUGUAGCACUUUCAUUUUUAUUUGACAAAUAUUGUCCAAUCAUGAAGUAACUAGGUUUAAAAGAUUCGUCUCGCACUUUAUAGCCAAACUGUGCAAUUAUUUUUUAUUUUCAUCUAUAUUUAAUGCUCUAUGUAUGUGCCGUAAGAUUUGCUGUAAUGGAAAAUCUUAAAAAGUUUUUAGUUUUUUGUGUGAACUAAACAAGGCCCCAAUAUUAUUUUGGAGGUGGAUGCAUCACUGGUAAAGGAUGCGCUCCAAACUGAUGACUAUAGGUUGGCGUCAACCGGUGGCAUAGUGUCAGAGAUUAAACAUGUUAGAGCAACUCUAGCAGGCCCCUACUCAAACUCUAAUAGCUAAAUAUGGGUGUUUAGGCUAAAAACAUUACUCCAGCAGGCUCCUACUCCAGAUCCUAUAUUUGGUUGGACACUCAUAUUUCUUCCCCAGACCCCAUUUCUGUUGGCCCAACAGGACAGCCUCCAUCCUCCAUCGCGUGUCCUAGCCCUAGCGCGCUCUCCCUCUCUCUCUUCCCUUGCAUGUGCAUGACACGUAACCGGCUCGAUGCUCUAUUUGUGUCCCUGUCCAAAGGAAGAAGAAAGAGGAAGAAGAAAAAACAAUGAUAAGUGGGUCCCUUCUGUCAUUCUCUCUGGAAUAGGUUUGGGAGUCCAAAUUUAGAUGCUACUGUUGGAGUUGAAGUAAAAAAAUUGAGCCCCAAGUGAGCACCCAAAUUAAAAGUAGGAGCCUAGUUUUGGGGUACUGCUGGAGUUGCUCUUAUUAGAGGUGAUAUGUACAAGUGCGUUAUCUCAGUUUGUAACAGGGAAUGUACACUCUUUAGCUGCUCUAGGCUGUAAUCCCCCAAGUGGCAGUUAUAACACUUGGGAGAGAGUACUUCCAUCUUUGGAGGAUUUGGUGACCAGAUAUUCUGCUGGGUCGGAAGAUCAUUAAUAAAGUUCCGACAUUUUUUUUAAAAAAAAAUAUAUAGUAGCAUGUACUCCAGUAAACAUAAGAGUUGCUAAAAAAAAUAAACAUAAGACCACCGCGGAAAAAAAUUAGAUGGGGCCGUGGAGAGAAGGUCGAUUCACAUCCGUUCCAUACACUCGUCAAAGAUCAAUUAGUACAAGGCAAUCAACAGCUGUUCAUAUACACAAUACGAUUAUACGAAUACAUACGCUCGGUAGCUACAUCACACACUAUCAGACUCGACAAGACGAUGCCAACAAGGUCCAUCAAUAUGUUCAGAGCUUCUGAAGAACAUCACGCAUAGCUGCGCGCGGCUUGCACAGGGCCUCCAGCGGGACGGCCCUGGGCAUGGUCAGCCCGCCGCUCUCGGCCAUGUCGACCUCAACUCCAUCAACCCUGUCCCAGUCGAAGCACUGGAUCAGCGUGCCGAGCACCAGCCCGACGGUCCGCAGCGCGAGCGCCUCCCCGGGGCACUUGCGCCGCCCCAUCCCGAACGGCAUCAGCAGCCGCCCCUCGGCCUGCUUGCCGUCCUCGAACCGCUCCGGCAUGAAUCUGCUCGGUUCUUCCCAGACCACGGGGUCCCUGUGGACCGCGUGCACGUUCACCAGCAGCAUCGUGCCGCGGGGCACGUCGUAGCCGCCGACCUUGCAGUCUGCGGAGGACUCGUGCGGCAGCAGCAGCGGCGCGGCUGGGUGCAGGCGCAGCGUCUCGUUGAUGAUGCACUGCAGGUAGGUGAGGCGAGACACGUCGUCCGCGGUCACCAGGCGGGAGGUGCCCACGGCGGCGUCGAUCUCGGCCUGCGCCUUCUUGAGGACCUCCGGGUGGUUCAGCAGGAGCGACAUGGCCCAUUCCGUCGUGGUGGACGUGGUCUCCGUUCCGGCGAGAAAUAAGUUCUUCAUCGCAGCGAAAAUGAGAAAACGACAGUCAGUCGCGUGAUUGAAUUAUCCAGAUCCAGGAAAAAGGAGAUUGCAAGAUAAGAGAAGUGAUAUAUAUGGUAGUACAAGAAGCACUCACCGCGCACAGAGCUAUGAUUACAGUGUCAGUGUAGACCUCUGGUUCAGACUUCUGCAUAGUGAGCAGCACCGCAAUCAUGCUCUUAACUUCGCUCUCGCUGCCGUCGUCCAGCCUCCGCCGCUCCCCGUCGAUGAGCCGCCUCAAGAACGCGUCUCUUCUGCUCACAGCGUCGAGAAUCUUGUUCCUGACGCCGAACACGUCGAACCACCGCAACACCGGCAGGUAAUCCCAUCGGUUGGCCGUGCCGAGGUACGGGACGAGCUCGUCGAUGAUCUGCUUGAACUCGUGCGCCUCGGGCGACAUGUCCGUGUCGGCGUUGGCCUCGGUGCGGGAGGUCUUGGUCUGCGCGAUAGUCUCCAUGAGGACGCUGAGGGAGAGCUCGAACAGCCUCCGCUUCAGCUGGAUGCGCGCGGCGCCGCCGGGUGCGGCCGCGGCGGCGUGGUCCAUCCUCUGCACCAUGGCGCGCACCUCCCCGGCGAUGGUGGGGGUCAUGCACGCGACGCGGUGCGCGGAGAGAAGCUGUGUGGCGGCGACGCGGCGGAGGUUGCGCCAGUACGGGCCGUAGCUGGCCACGGAGAACAUGGCGCCGUUGAAGGACACGAGCCGCAACGACGGGAACAGCGGGCGGUUGGCGAAGUUCAAGUCGUGCUCCGUGAAGCACUCCUUGGCGCACUCCGGCGAGGACACGACCACGGCGCGGCGGGACCCCAUGCGCAGGGAGAACACCGGGCCAUGGCGCGCCGCGAGCCGGGCCAGCGCCGCGUGGAACGGAGCCUUGACAAGGUAGAGGUGGCCGAGGAAAGGGAUGGCCGGAGGGCUCGGCGGAAGCUGCUGCGAGCCCUUGCCCUUGCCCUUGCCGCCGCUGCCCGCACGGCCCACGAGGUAGUGGAGCAAGAAGAGGAAGGCGCCGGAGAGGACGGCGAUAUAGGCCUUAUCCAUGUCAGGCCUAGUGAUGGCUUUGGCUGCUGUGUGUUUCUUCUAGUCGAUUGAUCGCGAGUUGCAGGUUGUGUGGCGCCAUAGCUGCAUAUAUACACACCGAGAUUCAAACCUGACAAGGAUCUAGUACAAUUUGAAGCAUAACAUACUUGUAGCAGUUGAUGACGAACGUCUGGAGAGGAUGGUUCGUGUCAUCCUGUGUAGUAUUGUUUGUAGGACCUGCGUGAUAUUGUGGUGCGUCGAUGCAUUUUUUCUUUAAGCUCAAGAGUCGAUACCACUGUCUUGUUGCGUCUUUGACUCUUUGUGGUGGUUGCCAUCACCCAUCCCACCAUCGCGGCUUCUUCCUGGAGUGGCAAAGGGUGAGUGAAAGGCCAACCUGCAAUGCGAGAUCGAAGCGUCUUUGGACUCUUGGGAAACAAGAAAAUCACGCGAUCGGUAGGAUUAGUUAAUUCAUACAAUGCUGAGCAGCUGAUUCAUAAGACGAAGUCAACGUUGCAUAUGUAAUGGGACUGUGUAACAUGCCAAGUGGAUGAUUUUAAUUAGCUCUCACACCAUGUAUGUGACAAUCUCGCACCUACUGAUGUCUUGUUUGGUUCUAUGUAGAUAGUAGCUAUCAACUAAUAAUUAUCUUUUUUCAGACCUAGAUCAGUGAAAUAAAAUUCAGGUGGGGAGCUCUCCCACCCCACCUGUGACAGUCAAAAAAUAAUAACUAUCUCUUAUAAAUAAUGAACUACUCAAUUAAAAUUUUGAUCACUCGUCUUAUUCAAAAAUUUGUGUAAAUUAUCACUUCUUUUGUUGUGGCUUGGUUUAUUAAUUAAAAUUUUUCAAGAAUGACUUAAAUUUGACUAUUUUUGCACAAAUUUUUUAAAUAAGACGAGUGGUCAAACUUGAAAUAAAAAAAAUCAAACAUGUUAUAAUUUGGCAUGGAUGGAGUAGCUAAUCGUUAUGUAAACCUCUAGAUAAUAACUAUCUCACUAGUUAAACCAAAUCAGAUAAUAGCAUGUAUCCAGAGGCCCUCGCAGAUAAUAGUUAGCUAGCUAAUAUUUGCUAUGUGCUAGCUACUAACUAGCUAACAUACAAUUUUGCACACGCAAUUGAUGAUGGACAUCGGAGAGGAUGGUUCCUUCCAUCCUGUGUAGUACUUACUUCGUAUUGUUUAUAGAACCUGCACGAUAACUGUGGUGUGUCGAUGCAUUUUUUUAAGCUCAAGAGUCGAGACCACUGUCUUGUUGCGUCUCUGUGGUGGUUGCUAUCGCUCAUCCCCCCAUCGCCGCUUCUUCCUGGAGUGGCAAAGGUGAGUGAAAGGCCAACCUGCAAUUGGAGAUCCGAGCCUCUUGGGAAACAAGAAAAUCACGCGAUCGGUAGGACUAAUUCCUACGAUGCUGAGCAGCUGAUUCUUUCGCAAGUAAUUUAGGUUAGGCGAAUCUCUACUAUAGUUCACCUAACAAAAUUAUGCUUGAUCCACCCAAAAAAACAACCCCCGCUGAGAGCCUCAACCAUUAUGUACCUAGUAAAACGCACACAGGAUUUUGUCUCCAUUAAAAUCAACGUCUCCAAAUCAACCAGUACCAAAUCCAACAACGGUAGAGGAAAGUUUGAAGCCCUGCAUCAAACUCUUACCCUCCCGCACUCUCAGGCCGCCCUCACGCCGCACAUCACGAUCAGCCCGCCCCUCCCGCCAAAACACCGGUCGCGGCUGCUUCCACGCAGGAACCAUGGCAGGACGUCGGCUCCGCCAGAUCUGACGCCGGAACAUCAUCAUGGAUUUUUUUUUUGUCGACCGUGAUCCGAUGUAGGAAUACAUGAACGUCGGAUCCGACGUCACGCGCAGGAACUGCGGCAGCAGGCCUGCGUCGGCGCCUCCUCUAGAACCGCGGCAGGAGAUCCCAUGCAGAAACGUCACGAUCUACGCUCGCGCCGGCGCCAGGAACCACACUGGACAGGCACCUUGUGUAUGGAAUUUUUUUCUUAAAGCAUCAUUGUCUUUGUUUUGUAGUGAGUGGUGAGUACUCUAGGCUCUAGCUGUCCACUUUGUGUGGAGCUGACAUUUACUGCACUUGCGAUCCAAACUGAUCUUCUGUUUGCCUUUUCUUCUUGCUAGCUAGGUUUUUGGUAUUGAUAUCUCCGCAUCUAUUUGGCUCUAGAUUUAGGUAUAGCACCAAAUUAGUAUAAAAGAUUCUUUAGGAAUAAACGUAUCAUUGAUAGGUGCUACUAUCCCUCAGAAUUCGAGCAACGAGUGAUCAAUUGUAUAGCUGUUGAGUUUUGGCUGAGCUGGUUGUCUGUUAUUCAAAUUCAAAUUCUAACAAUAAUUGGAAAACUGAGAGGGAGGAAGUUCUCCGGUUUAGAUAAUUGUUUUCUGCAGUUAUUUCGUGGGUCAUUUGAAAAUAUAACUUUUCCUAACAAUUUGGUGUGUUCAAAACUCGACAGCAGCCACCGGACGAGGGGGGUAGGCCUCAACAUGAACAUCAGGCCAGGAACCGCGCGAACACUGAGGGUCCUGUGUCGAUCGGCCUCGACCUGAACAUCAGGGCCUCGACGCGAACAUCAGGGUCCUUUUAUUGUUCGCUAACGAAAAAGCCUACAAUUUCGAGGGCGCCGUCGACUUAGCGUUCGUUGAUGCCGAAAAGGAAAACUACAGCAGAUAACACGAGCGGCUAUUGCGGCUGAUCCGCAGCCGCGGCAUCCUUGCCUACGACAACACGUUAGGACGUCGCAAGUCCAGGUCGAAAGAUACACGCGAGACGCUAAGCGACAUCACCAACAUCUUUGGUACAACUACUUUUAGUAAUUUAAACUACUUUUAGUAAAUCAAAUAUCAUUACAAACUCAUAAUUUGGUCUAUAUAAUGUGCAACCAUUUACUUUUGGUCUGGGUAAAAAAGUUCCAGCCGCCCUUUAUGCAAGAAGAAAAAACAUGUUAAUAACUGAUUUUUCUUUAUGUUAAAUAAAAUGACUGUACCUGUGUUUAAGCUUUCCUUGAAGAUGCCCAACCUAGCAUCAAAGUCUCCAUGGGCACAUAGCUCUGCUAACAUGUGCUUGUACGUGUAAGCAUCUGCCGAGCACCCUUUCUCAGCUAGGGAGUUCCAGUCUAGCAGUCUGAUUAUAAAGUUCCAAUCUAGCAGAUUGAUUAUAAAAGGACAGUUUUUUUAAUCAUAAUUGGGUGAAUUAUAAAAUAAUAAAUUUAUUUCUUUCGCAAAUGAUUCUUUUAUCCAAGUGUGGGGGUAUAAACCCCUAUACCCUUACGGCUAGACUUCGGCCAGGAGGCUUGGCCCAUUACGAGACGAGUUCAAGGCUUGAUCCGACAACCUGGAGUUUCGCGCAAGGAAACAAGAUGUGGAGAUCAAGCAGGAUUCUAGUCGGUUAGAAUAGGAAUUGAUAUCGAAUUAUCCAUGGCAAUUGUAACCGACUAGGAUUAGUUUCCAGAUCUGUAACCCUGCCCUCCAGACUAUAUAAGGAGGGGCAAGGGACCCCCCUAGGACAUUAUAUUCUCUCAACACAAAUCAAUACAACCAGACGCAGGACGUAGGUAUUACGCCAACUCGGCGGCCGAACCUGAAUAAAAAGCUUGUCCGUGUCUUGCGUCACCAUCGAGUUCGUAGUUUGCGCACCGUGUACCGAUAAACUACUACCGUGGGUAUACCCCAAGGUAGACUGCCGACCAGCUUUCGUCGACAGUGGCGCGCCAGGUAGGGGGUGUGCGUGCAACUUUUCCGGCGAACAAGAUGGUCACGAUCCCAGCUUCCGCGACCGUGCCUGAAGGCCUCACAUUCACCGUUGGCCAGAUCACGUGGACGACGUGCAGCGGCGGCCUCACGACCACGGUUUCGAAAGAGACCCAGAUCCAAUCUGAGAUCACGCCGUCUCCGACCACACACGUGGCGGCACCGAGCGCCCGACCACCGUUCCCGCUCUACAAGCGCUUGAUCGCGUUGACUCCAAGCUACUCGAAGUUUCCCAACUAGUAGACGGAGUUCUGCGUCGGCCCGACCAAGCUGCUCCAGCGGAUUUUUUCAAAUCCCGCCGGCCAACUCGUGUCACCACACACGAACGGCUGGGAACGUCUCUGACGAUAACCUCAACACCCUCAGGACGAUCCGUCGAGCUCAAGAAGGAAGAUUAUCCUUGCGGCCUGAACAACUCGGCCUCUGUUUACUCACAGCACACCCAAUCCGUUUUCAGCAAGGCGGGUUGGUCGCCGACAAGGAACGAUCGUCACUACGUCAACAUGGUGGCAAUCCGAGAACUACGGGACGGCCAAGUUUCCAGCACCAACUCAAGCACCGGUUCCGUCCCCACCGAGGUUAUAAACACCGAAGACGAGGACUACGACCUGGAUUUUCCUUCACACCCUCCGGGUUUCAACCGAUUCCCGAUAUUUCCCCCCCGGCGAGGAGAUAUUGUGUUCAAUGUCAGCGCCGACGAACCGGUCGUUGAUGGAGAAACAGAUGACCAGAGGCAACUCCGCGAACAGGGCAACGCCGAUCGCGCCCGACGACGCGCAGACGAGCAACAACAAAUGCCACCAAAUGAUCUCAACGAUGCCUUUGACAUGGUCGGGGACCAGCCAGUCUACAAAACGCCAAGCGCCAACGUGGCUGUCGCCAUGGCUAACCUAGAUCGGCUUCCUGAUACCCCCUAGUGCCAGGGAGUCCGGACCAGCAUCCGAGCACACCUGAUCGCUGCAAUGGGACAGACAGUCACUCUGCUCAAGAGAGUCCAGGACGUCUCUUAUACGGAAGCCGCCUCCGACCAGACUAAUCGUAGCCGGGCCUCACCGUCUCCCAGCAGGCGUCACCGCAGCCGCUCUCCCGACAACCGUCGAAAGGACUCACGGCGCGACGAUGGUGGUCGGGACGCCGACGGUCGCCGCAAGCAGAACCGCGUACGCGGCCAAGAAGUAAACCAGCACAGGGAUCUCCGCCACAACAUCCCUCCCAAAGAUGCCCGGGACCGCAUCAACAGGCGCGCCACAGAGAGAGCAGUCCACGAAAACCUGCGCCGCAUCGAAUACGAUGCAACGCACGGUCCUCCGGGCCUAAGACAGUUCUCCUCACACCUCCGCCAGGUCGUGUGGCCCCGCAAUUUCAAGCUCGAAAAACUUAAAAAAUACGACGGCAAGGAAAAUCCAGAGAACUGGAUCACCCUCUACGAAAUCGCCGUCCGAUCAGCGGCAGGGGAUGAGCACGUCAUGGCUAACUACUUCCCCGUAGUCCUCGACCAGGCUGGUCAUCAGUGGCUUCUUGGCUUGCCUGAGGACUCCUUCGACUCUUGGGAAGAGCUACGCCAGGCUUUCAUCGACAACUUCAUCGCCACAUGCGAGCAGCCUGGAAACAAGUAUGACCUUGAAAGGAUAAGGGACAGGAAGAACGAACCUCUGCGCGAUUACAUCCGACGAUUCUCGGAUAUGCGCCUCAAAAUCCCGAAAAUUUCCCACGACGAGGCCAUCUCAGCCUUCAUCAAGGGCCUGCGUUUCCACGAAGCGCUGAGGAACAAGCUGUUGCGUAAACGUCCAACAACGGUAGCAGAGCUCCUCGCCACGGCCAAAAAUUACGCCGAUGCCGACGACGCAGAAAAACUAAUCCGAGACGAUGCGAGAGGUCCCGACCAGCCUCCCCGGUGAGAUUACGGUCGUGGUCGCUACGACAGCAGAAACCACCGCCGCUCCGACAACCGCGAUCACCGAGAGGGUUGGGAUCGGCGGCGCGACAACCGCGACGAUUUCAGAGGAAAGCGCCCUCGCGACUACGACCACGAAGUAAACACGGUCAAGCGUCCCAACGGACGACGGGACUACCAAGAAGACUACAACAAAACGUUGAAGGGACCAUGCCAACUGCACCCAAAGUCUAAUCAUACCAUGGAAGAGUGCCGCGUCCUCAAAAGCAUCUAUACACGGCGGGCCGCCCAAGACGACUCCGCCAAGAAAAACAACAAGCGAGACGGGCACGACCACGAAGAUGAGGACGAGGACCAAGAUAGGGACCCCCGACACCAGUACGUCAGCCCCACCGACGUGGUCCACUCCAUUUUCGGGGGCAAGGUCUCCAUUGAAUCUAAGCGAGAAAGAAAGCUGUUAAAGAGAGCCUGCCUCAACAUAGACAGCACGGACGGGCUGAUCGCAGACCCAAAAUUCCCCCCGUGGUCCCACAGGGAGAUCUCGUUCAGCAGGAAGGACCAGUGGGCCGCUAUCCCAGAGCCGGGUCGUUUCCCCCUGAUUCUGGACCCUUGCAUCAACAGCAUCAGAUUCGAGCGCGUGCCCGUGGACGGGGGAAGCUCCAUUGAUAUCCUCUUUCGCAACAGCCUGCCCGCCCUCAAGAUAUCUCCUGCACAACUAAAACCUUACGACGCCCAAUUUUGGGGGGUUUUGCCGGGUCAAAGUUCAGUGCCUCUCGGACAGAUAACAUUGCCUGUCCAAUUCGGCACACCCGACCACUUCCGGACGGAGUUCAUCAACUUCGUGGUCGCCGAUUUCGACGGGACCUAUCACGCUAUACUGGGCCGACCAUCGCUGACAAAGUUCAUGGCAGUCCCGCACUACUCAUACCUGGUCCUUAAGAUGCCUACGGAGAAGGGUGUCCUAACCGUCAGAGGCAAUGUUUACACUGCGUAUACCUGCGAAGAGGAGAGCUUCAAGAUCACCGAAGCAAUCGACCUCUCAAUCCGCAUGGCAGAAACAGCAACUCAAGCCGCGCAGCUGCUUCCCGACCAGCUCCGAUUACCUGAGCAGGAGACAGCCAGAAAGAACUCAAAAUCCAAGGAGCACAAAGAAGUACAACUGGUCGAUGGCAGCCCCGAGAAGACGGCCCUCAUCGGGGCCAACCUGGAUCCAAAAUAGGAAGACGCGCUCGUCAGGUUUCUAAGGGACAACGUAAGCGUUUUCGCAUGGAAACCCGCAGACAUGCCCGGCGUCCCACGAAACCUGAUCGAGCACUCCUUAAAUGUCUCGAAGACCGCAAGACCAAUCAAGCAAAAGCUGCGACGGUUCGCUCGUGACAAAAAGGAGGCUAUUAGGACAGAAAUCACACGGCUUCUAGCAGCCGGAUUCAUAAAAGAAGUGUAUCACCCCGAUUGGCUCGCCAAUCCGGUUCUUGUACGCAAAAAGAAUAAUGAAUGGAGAAUGUGCGUUGAUUACACUGAUCUCAAUAAACACUAUCCUAAAGAUCCUUUUGGUCUCCCUCGCAUCGACGAGGUGGUCGACUCAACGGCCGGAUGCGAACUCCUCUCCUUUCUAGACUGCUACUCUGGUUAUCACCAGAUUUCGCUAAAGGAAGAAGAUCAGAUCAAAACGUCUUUUAUUACACCUUUCGGCGCAUACUGCUACACGACCAUGUCUUUCGGACUCAAAAACGCCGGAGCCACUUAUCAAAGGGCCAUCCAGCAAUGCCUCCACGACGAGAUUCGUGAUGACCUCGUCGAGGCCUAUGUGGACGACGUGGUCGUAAAAACAAGGGACGCGAGCACCCUAAUCGACAACUUAGACCGAACUUUCAAGGCACUCAAUAGGUACAAGUGGAAGCUCAACCCCAAGAAAUGCAUUUUCGGCGUUCCUUCCGGUCUACUGCUCGGCAACGUUGUCAGUCGCGACGGCAUACGACCAAACCCUUCAAAAGUAAAGGCGGUACUCGACAUGCGACCACCGAAGAACGUAAAGGAUAUCCAAAAGCUAACCGGAUGUAUGGCCGCCCUCAGUCGCUUCAUCUCAAGGCUAGGAGAAAAAGGCCUCCCUUUCUUCAAACUAUUAAAAGCGUCGGAAAAAUUUUCUUGGACAGAAGAAGCCGACACCGCAUUCAACCAGCUUAAGACCUUCCUCACUUCACCACCUGUCCUUACAGCGCCUCAGCCCAAUGAAGACCUACUCCUUUACAUUGCUGCAACCGACAGGGUUGUUUCCACGGUAAUAGUGGUCGAGCGAGGUGGACCAGGUCACGCCUACAAGGUCCAGAGACCAGUUUACUUCAUAAGUGAAGUCUUAAACGAGUCCAAGGCCAGGUAUCCACAAAUACAGAAGCUCAUAUACGCCAUUCUAAUAACGUCAAGAAAGCUGAAGCACUACUUCGACGGCCAUCGAGUCCUGGUGACAACCAGUUUCCCUCUCGGGGACAUCCUGCGCAAUAAAGACGCCAAUGGCAGAAUCGUGAAAUGGGCAAUGGAAUUAUGUCCAUUUUCCCUGGAGUUCCAGAGUCGCACCACUGUCAAGUCUCAGGCCCUGGUCGAUUUCAUUGCUGAAUGGACGGAUCUCAACGAGCCUUCCGUUCCCGAUGUCUCAGACCACUGGUCAAUGUUCUUUGACGGGUCCUUGAACAUCAACGGUGCCGGCGCUGGGAUACUGUUCGUAUCACCCAACAAGGACAAACUGCGUUACGUCCUUCGGAUCCUUUUUCCGGCGUCAAACAACGUCGCCGAAUACGAAGCAUGCUUGCAUGGCAUAAGACUAGCCGUUGAGCUGGGAGUCAAGCGCCUCUAUGUCUAUGGCGACUCCGCUUUGGUCAUCAACUAGCUCAACAAGGAGUGGGACGCAACCCACGAGAAGAUGGAUCUCUACUGCAAAGAAAUUCGCAAAUGGGAAACCAACUUCUACGGCAUAGAGUACAUCCACGUGGUCCGGGAUAAGAACCAAGCAGCAGAUGCGUUGUCGAAGUUAGGCUCAUCUCGGGCCCAGAUCCCGCGGGGUAUUUUCGUCCAGGACAUCCACGAGCCGAGCGUAGGCUCCUCCCUGGUCGACAAGCAACCCACCGAGGCAAUGCUCAUAGACGACGCCACUCCGACAACCGGUGGGCGUGACUGGCGUACCCCGUUCAUCAAAUACAUAUCGGACGGGACAGGCCUUCAGGACAAAACAGAGAACGAGCGCCUCAUUCGACGAUCAAAGAACUACAUCCUGGUCGACGGCCAACUCAUGCAGAAAAACGCAAGCUCCGAAGUACUGCUCAAGUGCAUACCCCAAGAUGAUGGUAUCAAGCUCUUAGAAGACAUACAUGCUGGAUCCUGCGGCAAUCACGCCGCAUCCAGAACGCUGGUCGGAAAGGCUUUCCGAGCAGGUUUUUAUUGGCCAACCGCGGUCGGCGACGCAGAAAAACUGGUUCGACAUUGCGAAGGAUGUCAGUUUUUCGCUAAGAGGACUCACGUACCUGCCCAUGAAAUUCAAACCAUCCCGUCGUCUUGGCCCUUUGCUUGCUGGGGGCUUGACAUGAUCGGGCCAUUUAAACCAGCCCCGGGCAAUUUCAAGUUUGUUUUCGUGUUAAUCGACAAGUUCUCCAAGUGGAUUGAAUACAUGCCUCUGGUCAAGGCAACCUCCGAGAAGGCUGUGGAGUUCCUCAAUCAAAUCAUACACAGAUUCGGCAUCCCGAACAGCAUAAUCACCGACCUGGGCACUCAGUUUACUGGCACCACUUUUUGGGACUUCUGCGAUGACAGAGGCAUAGUCAUAAAAUACGUGUCAGUAGCGCAUCCACGUGCCAACGGUCAAGUUGAACGUGCUAACGGAAUGAUCGUUGACGCCCUAAAGAAAAGGUUGUACACCGAAAACGACAGAGCACCCGGUCGAUGGAUGAAAGAAUUGCCGGCAGUGGUCUGGGGCCUCCGAACUCAGACCAGUCGAAACACAGAGGUGUCUCCCUACUUCAUGGUGUACGGUUCAGAGGCGGUCCUGCCGUCUGACAUACACUUCGGAUCUCCUAGAAUCGAACACUUCGACCAGGCGACCGCCGACAACGCCAGAGAACUCGAAAUCAAUUGCAUGGAGGAAAAGCGUUUAGACUCUUGUCUCCGAACAGCAAAAUAUCUCGCGGCAGUCAGGCGAUACUACAACAGGAACGUCAAGGACCGUUCCUUCGUGGUCGGCGAUCUGGUACUUCGAUGGAAAACAUGCCAGGAGGGAAUGCACAAGCUAUCCACUCCCUAGGAAGGACCCUUCGUGGUGACCGAGGUCACACGACCUACGUCCUACAGAUUGGCGUACCCAGACGGAACACGAGUGCCUAACUCUUGGCACAUAGACAAACUGCGACGUUUCUAUCCAUAAAGUUUUAAUAACUUUCCUUUGUAAGUAUCUUAUAAUUGUUAAUAACGAAAUUCUCUACUUUUUUGCCUAUACCUUGUCGCACACAGCACUCGGCAAAACUUCUGCAAUGGAUGCUCUUAACGACUACCAAGACGAAUACGGUGACACGUCACUCCGAUAAUCUUACAGCGCUCAAAACAACAGUCAUGACAAAAAGCAAACUUUAUUACAAACUUUACAUACAAAGUUUACAAUAAAUACCCUGACGGGCAGACACUAGUCUAUUCCUACAGACUACUCUAUCGGCCUAGCUGCUCGGGCUGAUCACCCGCCUGGCCCUGCUGCCCGGACGAAGGGGUCGGGGCCACCGGCGCCUGGCUGGUCGAGACCGCAGGCGUCGACCGCCCAUCUCCCGCAACGGACGCGCCCGACAACUCCCUGGCCGACCUAUCUGAACUCGGCUGGUCUGGGGGAGUGGCCGUUCCGCACAGAUUGAUGUCGCCGAUCACUGUUGACGACAAGUCCAGCAGACUACCCCGAAGCUCGUCCGCCUCCUGUGGGCCGACCUCCUUCGGGUACCCCUUCUCCAGCCUGCUCAAGUCGACCAGGGGGUAGUGGGCGCGCACCAUGCUGAGGACGUGCGCGCCGGCAAACUCCCCGGCGUCCUUCACGAACUGCUGGAGCCAGUCCCACGCCCGUUGCGUCUUCUCGACCGGGGUCAACUGUGGCGCGCGGGGCUGGCUCUCCGGGAGCUCGGGACUGAUCAAGUCUAGGACCGGGGACACUCCUUUCCAGAUCCUGCAACAGUUGACCUUCCAGGAGUCCCGGUCCUUGAUCAGAUCAUCCAGGUGCUUCUUGGCGUUCACCUUGAGCACUGCAAACGAAACAAAGCAUUAUUUUCGGCAUACCAAACAAACAAAGGGGCGGCAAGCAGCAGCUAACAAGGCGGCACCCAUUACCAGAUAAUUCCCGGUCCUUUCGACCCAAUUCCUCUCGUGCUCGCCGCCCGGACUCCAGCGCACCGGCGAGCUGUUGGCUGAGCGGCUCCUUCUCUUGUCGGAGGCGCGCCACCUCCUCCUCCAAGUCUGCGUGAAUCAUAAACGGGUCAGUAAAGCAAACUACACAAGUACACAAAGCUGCUCGGAGCGUGUGACUAACCUUCUCGUUGCCGGUACUGGUCGGCCAAGCGACGAGUGAGGUCGAAACGAUGCUCCUCUUGGGCGCUCAUCUCGGCCACCUUCUCCCCGACUUCCGACCGCAGCCGGUCUACCUCCGCGGCCAGGGCCUUGUUCUCGGCCACGACGCCUUCUAUCUGGUCAAAGCAUCGUUUCCGGUACUUCGCCGUUUUCAUUGCGCCCUACAAAGCGGACAUAUAACGACCAUGCAAGACAAGGCAUAGAAUGUACAGCAGUACAAAAAGUCGCUUACCUUGACUUCGUCGACGAGGCGCUUGGCCGCACGCUCCACCCUGGCGGCCUCCUCGGUCUCGGCGAGCUCUUCAUGCCCGAUAAAGUGAUCCCCGCGUUGGCGCCACACAUACACGUGUUGGCGGCCAUCACGGGGACGACCCUCAAUCUCCUCCACCUCGUCCUCGAAGGCCGCCUGAGCUUCCUCCUCCCACGCUGCGUUGCUUCCGGUAGCGGUCCCAGGCAUUACUGGUCCCCGGACCAGACCUGGGGAGCCUGCAGUCGAAGCGGCCCCUGCUCGGGGCGGUGUGGAGACUUCACCCUCCCCGGCGGGAGGAGGGGUCGGGGCCCUUCCCUCCCUUUCCGUGGUGCUGGCUGGGGGAGGCGUCCCCAUAGCCUCCUCAACCCUGGUCGGGCUGCUCAACGUAGCCGGUGCCGCGGCCAGGGACUCCUCGGCGCUUUCAGGCACGGCUGCAGCCGUAGGCUGCUCUGCGGUCUGCGGGGCCGCGUCUUCAGCAGCGCAAACCGGCUCACUCGUCCCCUGGCCAGCGGCAUGGCCAGGGUUGACAUCCGACGCCGUGCUAAAAGGAACAAAACUACAAUAAAAAAAACAUCGGUGAAAUACGUAAGUUGAACACUUACAGGUUUGAGCGGCGGUGGGUCGCGGUAAACCUCCUUCUCGUCCGACCAGUCGGCACCUGUGCUCCCGACUCCCCAGCGCGAGGCGCAGGUGGAUCGACGGCCACACGGUCGGCAGUGGUCGCCCCGCCGUCCGGACGGCUAGGAGGCCUCCGGACCAACGACGGAACGGCCUCCUCCUCCUCCUCCUCGUCGUCGAUCCGAACGAACCGACGCCGCUUCGGCGCUCGGCUGCUCUCCGCCGGCAGUGUCGGCAUCGGCGACGGAUCCACAGGCAUUGGCCUUUUCCCCGACACCCUUUCCUCGGUCGUUGGGACGGGGCGGGCUUGUUCCUCCUCACUGCUGGUGUAAUGAGCACACCGAGCAGCGUCCUCCUCUAGCGGGUCUUCUCCCGCAGGAUUCUCCAUCCCCGGUGCCAGUGAUACAUACACUGUGCACCGGUCGACAUCGCCGAUCUACAAAAAGCAACAAAGAUGAGCCAGCCACAUACGAUAUACGAAUACUAAAACAAAAUAAUCUGCAACAUACCUUUGGUGCUGGUCGGCCUAACUUGAAGGCUUGCACCCGAUCACUGCCACGGAUGAAGCCUCCGUCCGCGAAGUUGAACAGCUCGUUCAACAGCCGUUGUACCUCCGCCUUCUCCAAGAUCUCCGGUCGCAUCCUGGUCGGGUCCACGCUUCCGGCAUACUCGUACGCCGAGUGCACCCUCUUCUGGCAGGGCAUCACCCGACGACAAAUAAAGUUGCCGACCACGCCCAGUCCAUCCAGGCGCGACCAGUCGAUCAGCUUCAUCAGAUCCGCCACUUGACCGUCGAAGUCCGGGCGGUCGGUCCAGCUCACCCUCUUCUCGGGAAUGUACCCCACGUCGCAGAACGUGGAGCUGCCCGGUUCCUCCCUGACGUAGAACCACUUCCUAUACCAUUCGGUCAAGGAAGUGUUCCAUGGACAGUGAAGGUAGUGAUUCUUCAUUCCAUCACGAAGGUUGAGGUAUACUCCACCUGCAACCUUGGAGCCUCCAACUGCUCCCUUCUUCCUCAAGCAGAAAAGGUAACGAAAAAGAUCGAAGUGCGGCUCUAUGCCAACAUAGGCCUCGCACAGAUGAAUAAACGUGGAGAUAAGGAGAAUUGAGUUCGGGUGCAGAUUGCAAAUCCCGAUCUCAUAAUACAAAAGAAGAUCCUGGAGAAAAGGAUGAACCGGAACCCCAAAUCCCCUCUUAACGAAAUCUUCGAACACGACGAUCUCACCGGCACGAGGGUCGGGGAAGCUUUCUCCUUCCGGCGCUCUCCAGCCGCCAAGCUCCGAGCUGUGCAGGAGUCCCAUGUCGACGAGGUCACCGAGGGAUUUGGUGGUGCUGCGGGACUUCUUCCACUCCUUGGCCAUCAGUUCGGCCCUCUUCUUGGAGUCACUCUUCGCCAUUGGAGGUGAGAAGUGGAUUUGGGUUACGAAGAUGCAGGUGAUUGAAAGAGGCGAGAAUGGAAGGCUUGAGGGCAAUGGCAGGGUAAGGAGUACAAGCGGAACUGUCAGGCUCUUAUAACCCGCAACUCCACCUCUCCCAUUUCCUGUAUUCUCGGGAAGUGGGCGGGCCAUGCGGCGGAUGCGGCGUUUCGGUUUACAGACAAUUAAUGCGGCGGAGUUUUCGUACCAAUUGAUGGUUUCCUUUUUCUCAAACCACGCAAAGGGCGGCUGCACAGUUGCCAGGCGCAACUUUUCAUGCGUCCAUCUGACAACCCAUCAGGAGGUCUCGUCAUGUCAACUUUAACGGAAAAGAUCGUUUCAAUAAAAAGAAGACAAAUAUGCCAGAGAGUCAACAAUCCGGGGACUGCACCGACCACCGAGCAAUUGAUGCUCGGGGACUGGUCGACCAGUCCAUCAGCUCGGAACUUCAAGGACUGCACCGACCACCGAGCAAUUGAUGCUCGGGGACUGGUCGACCAGUCCAUCAGUUCGGAACUUCAAGGACUGCACCGACCACCGAGCACUCGACGCUCGGGGACUGGUCGCCCAGUCUAUUAGCUCGGAACUUCAAGGACUGCACCGACCACCAAGCACUUGACGCUCGGGGACUGGUCGCCCAGUCUAUCAGCUCGGAACUACAAAGACUGCACCGACCACCGAGCACUCGAUGCCCGGGGACUGGUCGUACAGUAUAGCAACGCAGAAUUCUAAGGAGCGCACUUGGUGCUUGGGGACUGGUCGUCAUACUAUUAUACACCCGGGGACUGGUCGAUUAGUCUAUUCAAUUGCAGACGGACUGGUAAAUUCAAUUUUUUAGACCUUGCUACAAGGCUCAUACUUCGCCUUCCAGCAAGCUCGGGGACUACAUCGGUACGAUGCAUCUAACGAUGCAUCUCAGUUACAGAAUUUCUUUGAGGACUUUUAUUUUGACCCUGGCACCACGUGCCCACGUCACCUACUACCAGGCUCGGGGACUAAGUGGGCACACUUCACCUUGCGGUGAAUAUGCUUGCUUUUUUGAAGUUUAUACCUUUCAAAAAAGUAAAGUGGGCACACUUCACCAGGAAAGAAAUCUUUUUUAAUUUGGAGCACCAUGCAUUCUUCGAACAACUCGCUUCUUCGAUGUCAAUGUUGAUCAACUGUCUUUUGAGUUGGUCAAAGAACCGUUGCAACUGUUUGGGCGACUUUCCCACUUAUUGAAGACGUCAAGUCUCACUGAUCGAAGAAGCUCAAGACGGCGUGUUACAUCACAAUACGUGGUGCUCGGGGACUAGCUGUGGGGGUAUAAACCCCUAUACCCUUACGGCUAGACUUCGGCCAGGAGGCUUGGCCCAUUACGAGACGAGUUCAAGGCUUGAUCCGACAACCUGGAGUUUCGCGCAAGGAAACAAGAUGUGGAGAUCAAGCAGGAUUCUAGUCGGUUAGAAUAGGAAUUGAUAUCGAAUUAUCCAUGGCAAUUGUAACCGACUAGGAUUAGUUUCCAGAUCUGUAACCCUGCCCUCCAGACUAUAUAAGGAGGGGCAAGGGACCCCCCUAGGACAUUAUAUUCUCUCAACACAAAUCAAUACAACCAGACGCAGGACGUAGGUAUUACGCCAACUCGGCGGCCGAACCUGGAUAAAAAGCUUGUCCGUGUCUUGCGUCACCAUCGAGUUCGUAGUUUGCGCACCGUCUACCGAUAAACUACUACCGUGGGUAUACCCCAAGGUAGACUGCCGACCAGCUUUCGUCGACACCAAGUAACUUCUUUUUUUACCUGUGUUGUGUGUCAGUGUAAACCCUUGAAAUUACUUUCAUUUUGUAAAAACUACACUACAACUUUAUAUGUAAAAACUCAGAGAUCCAGUUAUUUUAAAUUUGCUCUGUUGGAGUGUAUUUUUAAUUUUCUAUUCCUAUUUCUAUUCUUGUAAUAUAUAUGUUAAAACAUCCACUUUAGAUGAAGCCUCACUGAGGAGGGAGGAAAAAAAUAUGCAAUAGCGUAAUCGUCGAGCUCAAAUGACCGACGAACAAAGAGAAGAAAUUAGGAUAAAGCACCAUGAGUACCAGUGUAAUUAUCAAGCACGGAAGAAAGCUACGUCCCAAAAUGCUACCACUUCCCAUACUUUUGGUGAAAUAGUGCCAAAUUCUUUAACUAUAGGUAUGUUAUCUCUUUGAUUCACAUUUUGUAUUACACCAUAAACUCACGUAUAUAUCAACCCACUGGGCAAACUUCCAUUGUGCAGUUGACAACAAAAUUAUGCAAGUACUAAUUGUUGUGGUAUGGAGCAAGACACACCAAUUAUAUUGGACAAGGAAAAUAUCCCACCAGAUAAAUACGCCCGUCUUCUGGCAUAGACGACUUUAUGUUGGUUCAUCAAAGAGGGUGUCAAGAUCAACAACUAGAAUUCUAGCAAAACCAACAGAGAAAUUGGAUCCUAUAGGGAAGAGCACCAAAAAUAUAGUUUAUAAAUACGCCCUAACUUAGUGAAUGAUGGUGCGUAUAAUUAGACUAUUUUAUUAUAUUUCAUUGUAUAUAAAUCAUCUGAAUUUUAUAUUCUUGGGUAUGUGCUUCAUGCUUUUAUUUUUAAGCAUCAUUUCAAUUUAGUGGGUUAAUACUUAAUUAAUGGUUUAUCAAUACUGGAACCUAAUUUAUGUUCUGUUGCUUCAAUGUUCUUCUGGACGGUGUCUGGUGACAGUAUAUAUGUUUCAUCUAUCUCUUAUAUGAUGUUUGGGUUCAAAACUUUCAGAUUCUUCUGGCUGAGAAAACAGAAGGAGAAUCUGGUUCCUAUAGCAGGUCUGACAAGAGAUGGAAAGGCAGAAGUGGAGGCUGAUGAUCCAUGAGGAGGGAAUUUCUACAGUCAGUCAUAUAUAUACAUGGUGCCAGGAACAUUCAAACUUUAAAUACUGAACGCGAAAUCCGUGAAUAUUCACCGAACUAGACAAAAGCAAAUGACCUUGCAGAAUUCAGUUUUCUCUUAAAUAAUUAAUACUGCACGUAUAAAGGCAGACAUAGCACAUAUAUGCUAUAACUAUUUUCUACUAUAAUUAGGCCUUGUUUAGUUACGAAAACAUUUUGGUUUUCGGGACUGUAGCACUUUCGUUUUUAUUUGACAAACAUUGUUCAAUCAUGGAGUAACUAGGCUUAAAAGAUUCAUCUCGCGAUUUACAGAUAAACUGUGUAAUUAGUUUUUUAUUUUUAUUUAUAUUCAGUGCUUCAUGCAUGUACCGCAAGAUUCGAUGUGACGAGGAAUCUUGAAAAGUUUUUGGUUUUUAGGGUGAACUAAACAAGGCUUUAUAUCAGUAGUCAUAGCACCGAUGUUUGCUACUCAUAAAUUUUCAUAACUAGGUUUAGACGAAAUCCAUGAUGUUGUGGGUACCUACAUUUCACACUAUUGCCAGAAUGUUCGGUCUCGCCAUAGGGCUGUGUAAUUCUAAGUGUAACGGCAAUAUUUAUAAUUGGAAGAAAGAAUAUCCUACAUGUGAAACAAAGGUUGACAUAAAAAAUACUGGUAACCAGUUGUAAUACAUGUCACCUAUUAAAUCACAGAAAUAGUUAUUUCAUUUAUGUAAAUCAAGUAAACAACUGAUUUUGUCCAUAAAACUGGGAGGCUUUCUUAUAUACAAUUUCAUGAAGUUGUGGGACGACUAAAGAUUGCCACCAAUUAACAUUGUAAGCAUAUAUAGUCUCUAUAUGUUGUACACUACAUAAAAAAUAAUAACUUAUUAUUAUAUUAUCUAUACCAUACACAACUCUCAACUUCACUGAGGAUAGAAUUUUUGGCAGACGUUUUAACGAGUCGUGAAAACGAAUAUUUCAACAACAUCCCUUAAGAUCUCCAAUACAUAAUAAAGAAGUUAGUCAGAAUGUAACUUAGAUGGUUAUAAUAUUAUAAAUAACUUUGUUGUGCAUUCUUAUAUGCAAAACUAUCUUCGAAUUAUAUAUAGACUCAAAUAAAAUUGUAUAAAAAUUAGACUAUGUAAAAAUAUUUUUUUUUGUUUUAAAAGAUUUUCUCAGAAUAAAACCGUAGCGUUAGCACGGGUAUUAUACUAGUACUAUAAAAUUGAUAAGACGAAGUCAUGUUGCAUAUGUUUUUUUUUCGCGAACGAGGCUAUGGCCCGUAUUUCAUUAAGAGCGAGCGGAGUUUAGAACAGUUACAAAGAUACGCUUGGCUAGUGGCGAGAGGCCAUUAGCAAGAGCCAAGAACCAAACCCCCAAUCCCUCUAGCCGCUUUGCUUGUAGUUAGUGGCAGGACUCAUAAGACUUGUAUAUUGGUAUAACCUACCAUCAACAAACAAGAUGUAGUUAACCCCCACAAGCUUAUAUCAACACAUGCAUGGAGCACCAUGAGCCUAGUUAAAAACUAAGCUUAUAUUAUAUACCCCACCUCAAAGAGUGAGUGAGUGACAUCUUCAUUGGCCAAACACACCCACAACUAAGCAAACAUAACCAUUGGCAUUUCCUCUUGGCACAAGUGUCCACGCAUCUAGUUCUGGCACAUGUUCCAUUACCACACCAUAUCCAAUUUUUAUUAUUGGAAAUAAAAAUUUAUCAGAGGUCAUGGAUAAAUAGGAUAAACUUGAUAUAUAGGAAAUAUCAUACCCAAUUCAAAAACAAUUCAAAUUAUUUUGAAAAAAACGCCCAUAGAAUUUGACUUCAAACUAUUCCUAAGCUAUUAAACAUCACUUGUUCACAUAUAAUGAUAUAAAUUAAAAACAAGAAUAAAACACUAUGAGUAUGGGAUUGUGGAUAUGGCGACAACACCGAGAUGAGCGUGGAUGUAGCAUGUGAGUGGAACAAUUGGGAUAAGAGUUGGAUUGCUCGGAUUUUGUUAGACCGUGCGAAUUUGGUCUGAGUAGGAAAUAGCCAAAAAAAAAUUGGUCGACAUCUAAUUUUAUGGGACUCUAUGGAUAGAAUGGAAAUUUUGAAAAUAUCGGUGAAUUUAGGUAUUUAAAGAAAACUCUUCCCGCGUACACAAUGCGCCACAUGUCUUAAAGAAAACUCUUCCCGCGUACACAAUGCGCCACAUGUCUGUGCCUUUGUACAUGGUGAGUGACCACAUAGUCAAACACAAUUACAUUUUUGUCCUUGCUUCCUGUGAAAAGGCUAACCUAGAGUUGAUUACAUGAACUCCAAAAGUCGUAUAUGUUGGUCUAACCUGCCAUCAAUAACUAAGGUGGGACUAAACUCCCAUAGUCUCAUAUCAAUAUAUACACGGGCCAUUGUAGGCUUGAUUCUUAUGUGUCACAUGGUUGAGGGUUCUAUUUCCAAAGUUGCAUUUUUAUGAGACUAUUUUCUCCUUUGUGACGAGUUACCCUAUUGUUUUUUUAGGGGUGAGUUACCCUAUUGUAAUAACGAACACUAUGUGCAAUUUUUAGGUAAAGCUCAAAUAAUCUUGUUCCGUAAUCUAAAGAGAGAUGUGUACACAAAAAUAUGUUGCAUAAUUUUUUUGCCACAUCAUACGUGUUGAAUGUUUUGAAAUGGUGUGUGAUUUUGCUUGACAUGCGUAACAUAGUUCACAAAUAUAAGUUCAUCUAGGCUUGUCCGAAGUCACUUUUCCAUUUUGAAUAGCAACAUCUACAAAAUAUAUUAUCUUAAAUAAUUUUCUGUAAUGAAUCAAGUAGCAUCAAUCUUCCGUGGACCAUUUGUAUCUAUAACUCUUAUAAAGCUAAACCCCACUAGAUGAAUUCUCUCUUCAUGCAAGGUGUCCACAUCAUUUCCCACUAAGUGACCCACUAAAUAUUUUAUCUCUUCAUGCAAUAUGUCCACAUCAUUCUCCACUAAGUCCAUGUCAUUCCAUAUUAAUUAUAAAAAAUAACCAUGUCAUCUAUAUCAUGUGAAAUACUUUAAAUCUUUAAUAUAUUCACAUACAAGUCAUGUACAUACAUUAUUUGUUUCAUCACCAAUUAAUUCCUCUAUAAUGUAACCAAAUAUUAGUUUUUGUUUUAUUAGCUUAGCAAUUUUUUACUAGAUCUAAUACAAUAGAAUACAUGUAAGUCAAAUUCAUAUGUGUAUAUACAUAAUAGACUAAAUACCAUAUAGUAGUGUUAUGUAUAUAAUGAUUUAUUUUUAAGAAAAUCCCGCAGCAACGCGCGGGGAAUUCACCUAUUAUUAUUGAUGGUCUAGGUUCAAAAAAGUUAAACUUCAAACAACAAAAGAUUCGUCUUGCAAAAUACAUGCAAAAUAUACAAUUAAUUAUUUUUUAUUUAUAUUUAAUGCUUAAUGCAUGUGUCUAAAUAUUCGAUGGAUAGGGUGAAAAAGUUCAUACAUAUAUGCGGCCAUAUAUACUGUAUUUUACAGACAGUAAUAACGUACGUGCGCAUGCCCGAGUUUAUAUAGUUCAGCGCACAUCAUCAUCAUCAGCCAUGCGUACUGCUACAAACUACAGAUGAAACUUUCACCUAUAGAAGAGUGAGAACCUAAGAUAUGCCAAAACAUUACAGUAGAUCACAGCUGCUUGAGAACAUCACUCACAGCUGCACGAGGCUUGCACGUGGCCUCCAACGGGACGGCCCGGGGCAUGGUCAGCCCGCCGGCCUCGGUCAUGUCGAUUUCGACACCGUCAACUCUGUCCCAGUCGAAGCACUGGAUCAGUGUCCCGAGCACCAGGCCGACAGUCCGCAGCGCGAGUGUCUCCCCGGGACACUUUCGCCGCCCCAUCCCGAACGGCAUCAGCAGCCGCCCCUCGGCCUUGCCGUCCUCGAAGCGCUCCGGCCUGAACUCGGCCGGGUCCUCCCACACCGCGGGGUCCCUGUGGAUCGCGUACGCGUUCACGAUCAGCAGCGUGCCGCGGGGCACGUCGUAGCCGCCGACGUUGCAGUCCGCGGACGACUCGUGCGGCAGGAGCAGCGGCGCGGCAGGGUACAUGCGCAGGGUCUCGUUGAUGACGCAGUGCAGGUAGCCGAGGCGGGGCACGUCAUCCGGGGUGAUCAGGCGGGAGCUGCCCACGACCGCGUCGAUCUCUGCCCGUGCCUUAUUGAGAGCCUCCGGGUGGUUCAGAAGAAGCGACAUGGCCCAUUCUGUCGUGGACGAUGUGGUCUCCGUUCCGGCGCCAAACAUGUCCUUCAUAGAGUGUAUAUAUCAGUUAUCAGGUACAUGUGUGGAAUUGCUUGUGAUUACUACUUCCGUUUAUUUGUAAUAGCAAGAUAUAAGUUUAGCAAACUCACCCCGCACAGCGCCAUGAUCAUGGUAUCCGUGUAGAGCUCCGGCUCUGACUUCUGCAAAGAGAGCAGCACGGCUAGCAUGCUCUUCUUCUCGCUGUCGCCGGCAUCGUCGAGCCGCCGCCGCUCUGCGUCGAUGAGCCGCCGCAGGAACGCGUCCCUCCAUCUCACGGCAGCCAUGAGCUUGUUCCUCACGCCGAACACGUCGAACCACCGCAGAAACGGCAGGUAGUCCCACAGGUUGGCCGUGCCGAGGUACGGCAUGAUCUCUUGGGAAAUCUGCGUCAACUCGUUCGCCUCGGGUGAUAUGUCGGUGUCGGCGUAGGCUUCGGAGCGGGAGGUCUUGGUCUGCGCGAUGGUCUCCAUGAGCACGCUGAGAGAGAGCUCGAACAGCCGUCGCCUCAGCUGGACGCGCGCGGCGCCGCCGGGCGACGUCGCGGCUAAGCGGUUCAUCCGGCGCACCAUGGCGCGCACCUCGGCAGCGAUGACCGGGGACAUGCAGGCGACGCGGUGCGCGGAGAGGAGCUGCACGGCGGCGACGCGGCGGAGGUUGCGCCAGUAGGGCCCGUAGCUGGACACGGAGAGCAUGGCGCCGUCGAAGGACACGAGCCGCAUCGACUGGAAAUGCGGGCGGUUGGCGAAGCUCUGGUCGUACUCCGUGAAGCACGCCUUGGCGCACUCCGGCGAGGACACGACCACCGCGCGGCGGUGCCCCAUGCGCAUGGAGAAAACCGGACCGUGGCGCGCCGCCAGGCGGACCAGCGCCGAGUGGAAUGGCGUCUUGACCAGGUGGAGGUGGCCGAUGAACGGAAUGGCCAGAGGGCUCGGUGGCAGCCGCUUGCGCUUGCCGCCGACGGCGGCGUGGCCCAUGAGGUAGUGGAGCAAGAAGAGGAAGGUGACGGAGAGGAUGGCGACAUACGCCUUAUCCAUGAUGGCCGAUGUGUUUCUGAUCGGAUCGAUCGCAAGUUGCUGUUAGUGUGCUGUACUGCUGUGGCAGUGUGUGGCGCCAUCAUUCAUUUGAUGCAAUAUAUAUACACACACAAGAUUAGUUUGCUGUCCCUAAUCCCUAUACAUUUUUGCAUACGCAACGGAUGACGCACGGCCGGAGAGGUUGAUGCUGUUUAUAGGACCUGCACGAUAUUGUGGAUCUGUGGUGCGUGGAUGCGUUUUUUUUAAGCUCGAGAUCACUGUCUGAUUGCGUCUGGACUCUGGAGGCGACCACACUAAUUCACGAACGUUCAUUUAGAAUGAAUCCAGCGAACGAUUUCCGACCAAUCAAACUAUCCUUUUUUAGGAAAGCAUUCAAUCCCGCAUAAUACCAUUUUUGGACGCAUCUAGAGACACGCAACUCCUAGGCUCCUUCCAGGCGGACGUUGCGUGCGCUUUUUUUUCUUUUCGUAUGCAGCCACACGAGCGAUGGUAGUUUUACUUUUGUAUUUUUUCAAAACCACACACAUAACUUAGAAAACCGAGUUACACAGUAUAACUUUUAAGAUUAACUUAAUAUUUCUAAGUUAUACAACAUUACCUUUUUCUUUUUGUGCGAAAUUUAUAUUAUUAAAACAGUUGCGAGAAUAGCAUUCUCUUUACGUUUCAUCGACUUUUUUUUCAAAAAUUAAUCAUCCGGAAACGUAGAAAAAAGUAUUUUAAAAAGGGUGAGAGAGUAAAAUAAAAAUAACUUUUACACCUUAUAUUACACAACAACUUCUAUAUAGAUAAUGCGAAGCUACAUAACAAGUUACAUAAUAGAUUUGCAUAACUUAUACAAGUAUGGUAUUCAUCAUAUAUGUGUUUUUAAUUGGAAGAUAUGCAAAAUAUAUAAUGUGUAAAAUAAUAAAUUCAAAUAACAAAAGUUGACUAGAGAAACACUUUAGUUAAUAGCAAAAUACUAACAUGGUUAUCUAAUAUAAUGUGAUAACACAUGAAACUAAAUGAAGUAAGUUUAUCAAAUAAGUUAAGAUGACAUACACAUGAAAACACAAGUUUGAUAUAUAACUGUGUACAAUAAGUUAAUGAAAUAAGUUAGUUAGCAUUCUUUUGUGGAUGGAGGUAGUAAUUUAGAAUAGAGGGAGUAUAUAGGUUACACAAUACAACUUAUGUACAUAAGUUACCGAAAUAAUAUAUUAGUGUACAUACAAAGUUGUGCUUUUAUAAAAGUUAUUCUACACAGACAUAAAUUACACAGUGUAACUUAGCAGAAUAGGUUAGCAACAUAACUUAGCAGAAUAAGUUAAUAGCAUAAUUACAUGUUAUAAGUUAAUAUACAUAAAUUGCUAAUAAAAAAUAAAAUUCUUCGAAAUAUAUGAAAUUGGGGUCUAGUUUUGUUCAUCUUGUCACGUUGAACACACUGAUGCAGACGGAAUUAAAAAUAGACACACCGUUUACAAAUUAUAGCAAUUUGAAAUAAAUGUUUUGUUUUUUUGCAUGAUGACGUAAAGAACAAGGAAAAGAGAAGCGGAAGAGGAGGUGGACGGUCAGCUCGUUCGCUACAUCUGAAAUGAAUGGCUCUGGAGGUCGCCAUAUCGCACCAGCGCGGCUACUUCCAGGACUGGCAAAGACCACCAACCCGUACUGCGAGAUCCGUGCGUCCUUGGAAACAAGAAACGAGCUCGAUUGGUAGGAUUUGUUAAUUCAUACGGUCUUGAGAUGCUGAUUCUUUCGCGAAUAAUUUAGGUCAGGUGAAUGUAAGCUAGGAUAUGGACUGCAACUGUGGUUAGCAGGGGCGGAUCCAGAAUUAGUCAAAGACUAAGGCCAUUAUAUAGACAUCAAUGCUAAUUGUGUUUAGUUAUAAGAGAAAUAGUAAAUUGUUCACUGUGAUUAAAGACUAAGACUAGGGCCAUGGCCCUAUUGGCCCUAGUGCUAGAUCCGCCACUGGUGGUUAGGCAAUGCAAAGGUAUGAUUUCAUUAAGCGCUCGCUGUGGGGGGCUGCAAGCUCCCUGUCUAACAAUCUGAACAAAAAGUUCUUUGGAAAAAAUAAUUAAGGAUUUUCUGCUCCAUUUUUUCCUGGGAUUUAAAAGAAUUUAAGAAAAGAAAUAAUGCCAACUAAUUAGGAGGCUGUUUAUUUUUUCAAGAGUUUUUCAUAACCUCAAUCUCUGCAUUCUUUUUGGAAUAGAGGAAGUACUAGUUAGUCUACAUCUCAUACUAAAAAGCAAAAAAAAAAUCAUCUGUCUCUCAAUAUCACAAUCUCUUUCGUCUGUUUCUCACUCGAUCCAUCGACCCUCACUCUUCUCUUCUCUUCUCACCGUUAGGAUAUGACUAGAGCUAUUAUUUAUACCACGCUAUUUGAGAGGAGGUCAUGACAUGACUUUUUGGCAGGCAGGCCCAAAGAGCACAAACACUAGGGUCAUGUUGUGCCUAGAAUCUUAUCACGUCGGGUGGCAGAAUACAACUCGUAUUUUGAUACAUGCUUGAGGCAUGACAUUGAACAAAAAGUGGCACGUAAGCAUGUCUAGAAUGCAACAAUGCAAUUUUCUAGUGAUUAUAUUAUACCACCUUUCAUCUCAUUUUUGAAUGGACUAUAAAAAUCAUUAGAGCUUUUUCAUAGAAAUGAUACAUACAACUAUAGUUUUCUAUAUCACAGCGAGCGAAGAAAACAAGCAGAAAUCUUUUAAGGGUUGUGCUUGGGCUAACAUGAUACCAAGGUGUACCUUGGAACAAGACUUAUUGUGUCAUACAAAUAUGUGACAUGUGCCUAGAAGUCACAGUCCAGAGCGGUGAGGUCAUAAUCCAGAGAGCGGCACAAAGACGAAGACGGAAUGCUGGGUCAUGCCCGAGCUGCACAAUCCAAGUCCCACCUCUACAUAUGACAUGUUAUAUCAUAGAAAACUAUUUGUAUUUAGGAUUGUCCUUACUAAAGCACCUCUUGAAUUGGAAAUAUAACAUUUUUAUUCAAGUUCUUAAUGAUAUAUGUUAACACUCUCUUUUUCAAGCAAUUGAGCAAAAACGCCAAGCAAAACCAGCUUGUUCGCUUGGGUAAAAAGCCAUGAAUGAAAGUAUUAUUUGCUAAUUUGUUGUGAGAGAAAGACAUUAUUAGAUAACUGGUAGAUUCGACAGAUAAACUCAAACGAAUAAAUUGUUUACAUAUCUUGAAUACUAUACAAGAUAAUCUGGAGAAGAUCACAAUUUGCUAAACCAUACUGUGAACUGUGAAACAACUACUAAUUGCUCAUACAAACGACCAUAUAUUUUACAGAAGAAAUAAAACGUACGAGGGUAUUACGCACCCAAGCUUAUUUAGUUCAGCACACACCAUAAGCCAAAGCAUACUGCUACACACCUACACACUAGUACCGGUUGAACCUCAGUACCACGCAGUGAGACCCUAGGGAUCAUAUGCCAAGAUGUUACUCUUCAUCAGAGGCUCAGAGCUCCAUCAGAACAUCGCGCAUAGCUGCACGAGGCUUGCACGUGGCCUCCAACGGGACGGCCCUGGGCAUGGUCAGCCCGCCACCCGCGGUCAUGUCAAUCUCCAGGCCAUCGACUCUGUCCCAGUCGAUGCACUGGAUCAGCGUGCCGAGCACCAGCCCGACGGUCCGCAGCGCGAGCGUCUCCCCGGGGCACUUGCGCCGCCCCAUCCCGAACGGCAUCAGCAGCCGCCCCUCGGCCUUGCCGUCCUCGAACCGCUCCGGCCUGAACUCGGCCGGGUCCUCCCACACCGCGGGGUCCCUGUGGAUCGCGUACGCGUUCACGAUCAGCAGCGUGCCGCGGGGCACGUCGUAGCCGCCGACCUUGCAGUCCGCCGCCGACUCGUGCGGCAGGAGCAGCGGCGCGGCAGGGUACAUGCGCAGGGUCUCGUUGAUGACGCACUGCAGGUAGCCGAGGCGAGGCACGUCUUCUGCGGUGAUCAGCCGGGAGUUGCCCACGACCGCGUCGAUCUCUGCCUGUGCCUUCUUCAGCGCCUCCGGGUGGUUC
rnacentral:lncRNA from 1 species